AAGAGACUUCUAAAUGCUCAAUCACAACUGAAAGUGACUUCUAAGAGUUUACAAAUAAACAGAUUUGUUUGUACACUUGAUAUACAAUCAAAGGUGUAAACAAUACAAAACAGAACAAACUCAAAUACUUAGAAUUUCUAAAAUACAAACUUUGAUAAGAAAUUUUUCAGCGUUCUACCCACUUUUUGAUUUUACAGAGUAAGGGCACAUUAAAAAUAGUAGAGUCUUGUUGUUGUUGUUCAAGUCUUCAGCUCCUUAUAUAGGCAAGGAUUUGAGAGACGUUGAAGAAGAGUGUUAAUGCAUUAAGAGUCGUUGAGAAGUUUCAAAUCAAGGAUGUUGGAUCAUUGCCUGAUAUGGAUAAUGUCAUUGAUUAAACAUUUGAAAUUCAUUUGCUGAAGCUAAAACUAUCUGUUCAUUCUCUUUGUUGUAAUUUUUUUUUUUUUACAUAUGGUCAGAAGAAGAUAAAUUGUACUAUCACAUACUUGAUAAGGACAUCUACAAAAAGGGACAAAUCUAAAGUGGCUUCCGAGUCUGAUGCAGAUCUUCAGCUUUUGAGUAGCUUUGUUUCUUCUAAUCCAAGACGUUUACUUCUGGUUGACUUUUCUUCAGAUCUUCUACCAUUGUCUUUUAGCUUUCUAUUUGUGUUUCUGAUGCUCUUAUACACAUCCAGACCUUGUUAAAUUUUAAUCUAUAGUCAUGCACACUUGAACAUAUAUUAGCAUAUUCAAUUAUUCUUCAAUACUUUAUUAUCAUCAAAACUUUAGAGGAAUUGUACAAACCAAUUUUGUUCCGACAUAUUAUAUAAAAAUUAAAGUUGUGAUUUCAAUAAUUUAAAUGAAGAGUAUAAUUGGAAAAUAGAAAGACAUUGCAAUUUUUUUUUAAUAUGUAGUAUAGAAAAUGUGCAUCUUUUUGAGACAAUUAUUUUGAAAAAAAUUAGUAAAUGAUGCGUAUAUAUUUUAAAGUGAAAAUUAUUUUGAAACAAAAAAAAUGCUAAAAAUCAAUCACUUUGAAACGGAAUUAGUUUAAAUUAAACUCAUAAUUGUACUUUUAUCAAUCUGUAAAUUACAUAAUUAAAAGAGUUUAAUUACUAAUGAUGUAUUGUCACAUCAAUUCAUGAAUAUGACAACUCAUAACUUUUCAUAUCAAUUAAUUGACGUAGCAACGCUUCAUUGGAUGCAUUUGUAAAAAUAUUCUUUGCCAAUAGUUAAGACUCGUUUCAAUGAUUUUCCAAUGGUUAGAAUUAUGCAACUCUUAUAGAGAUGACUUUAUUUUUCAUUGCCAAUGGCUAAGAUUUGUGCACUACUGCAGUGAACAAAUUAUGCAGUUGGUGAUGUUUUGAUAUUGCUUCGGAUUUGUAAAGAUGGCAUUACAAGUUUAUGGCAAAUGUUCAAACUUGUAGAUGAUGCAUUUUAUUUUGUCUCGUAUGAGAAAUAUGAUUAGAACAAUUUAUGUGCUUUGAUGCUUAAAAGAUUCAAUCAAUAUUACCAAUUUUAAAAAUAUAAAAUCAGUUUCCCGUUCUCUUCGCUCGCUCUCUUCGAGUUUGUGCUACUCACAUUCUAAUGCGAAGCCACAUCAGACAUUCUGCACGUUGUUUAAGCACUUGAGCUUCAACAGCUUCGCCUUUUAGUAGUGACGGUGACGGUGCAUUUGAUAUUUGGUUGUCUUUGAUUCUUUGCAUGUUCAGUCCUAAUGCUCAUAGCAGUAACAUCAUAGUUGUUUGCUUGAUUUCUCUUUGCCUUUGAUUUUUUCAGGACUUUAUUUGUUGUUUGAGAUUUUUGUUGAAGAUUAGAGAAAUAAAAAAGAUGUAGUUUAAUCCAUUUUACCUUAGUUAUCACUUAUCAGUGAAAAUACAGGUUUUUUUGGAAAAUUUAUAGCUAAACCGACCGAGUUUAAAAUUGGAAAAUUGGUACAAAAUAAUGAAAGCUAAAAAUCCAUUGUUUAUAUUUCUUUUCGAUUGUUCAUGAUCUGCUUUGUAGUGUUUUGUGUGUGGGUAUCUUGUUUGGAAGCUUUUAAAAUUUGAAUCUUGAAUUGCUUUAUCUUGUUCAAUUUGUUAGUCUUUGUGUGUCUUCAAAAGCACUUAAUAUUUGUUUUAUGCAGGUUUGGAUUCUUAAGAAACAUUUUUCAAUUUUGCUUCAUAUCAGAGGAUAUCAGUUUUUGGCAUUCAAUCCAUCCAAGGUCAGUGACCUCAUCUCAAAUUUUUACAAGUUUUUUAUUUCUUUGUUGUCUGUGAUGUUUAGACUGUAGAUAAUGCAUUUUAUUUUGUUGCAUUGCAUAUCAGAAAUAUGAUAAGAGCAAUUUGUAUCAAUUUAUGCGCUUUGAUGCUUAAUAACUCGAUCAAUAUUCCUUCAUACCAACCAGUAGCAUUUUUCAUCUUUUAUACUCUAUAAUCAUAUUUAAUUGACCUCUUUAUUUCUUUUAGAAACUGAAAACAAUCUCUACUCGUAAAAGAUAAUCCUCAUUUGGUAAUUAACUAACUAUGCAGUCUAAAUGUGAACAAGCCUACUUAAUUUAUAACCAAUUAUAUUGAGGCUACUAAUAGGCAAAUAUUGAUAUAAAUAAGUACAAUAUGUGUGAACAAGCCUGUUGGUAUAAAUAAGUACAAUAUUGAUAUUUGUUGCAUAUAAUAGUAUGCUCAUAAAUUAAACUCAAGUAUGCGUAUUAAGCAGCACGAAAAUGAAAGGAAGCAGAGAAAAGAAAUUCAUUAGCUACUAAUAGGAACUAAGAUAUAAAAUGUCAUUGAAAUGAGUCCAAUUAGAAUUCACACAUAUGUGAAGUUCAGCUUUGUGCAUAUUUUUGGGACUAUGGCAAAAACAAAGACAAUGAUGUUAGUAUCCUUCAAUUGUUGGGGGAGGAGGCGACCUAUAUUCAGCUCCAAUGUGUGGUGGCAAGAUGAUGUCAUCCCAUGUUGGUGGUGGUGGAGAGUUGACCGAUGGAGGAGGAGAGUGUACUGGUGGUGGAGGGGAGUGCACCGGUGGUGGUGGGGGAGGAGAGUGAACUGGUGGUGGUGGAGAGUAGACUGGUGGAGGAGGUGAGUGGACAGGUGGUGGGGGAGAGUGAACUGGUGGAGGAGGUGAGUGAACUGGGGGUGGUGGAGAGUGGACUGGUGGAGGAGGUGAGUGGACAGGUGGUGGUGGUGAUGACACUGGUGCUUUUGUUGGUGGAAUAUCCUCGACCGGUGCUCUUGUUGGUGGAAUAUCCUCAACUGGUGCCCUUGUUGGUGGAAUAUCCUCAACUGGCGGAAGCGUAGGUGGAAUGUCCUCAACUGGUGCUCUUGUUGGUGGAAUAUCCUCAACUGGUGGAAGUGUUGGUGGAAGUGGUGGUUGAACCUUUGGUGUCUCUUGCUUAGGAGCUCCUCCACCACAGUGUUGGCUACAAUCCACAUGUUUGGUCAAAACUGGUAAGCAUUCCUUUGAUGUCUUUUGAUCUUUCCUUCCAGGUAAACAGUUAUUGGCAUCAUCAAAUACAACAUUAGGAUUACUAGAAGGAACACAAGUUUGAGCUUCUCCAUUGAAGUAAUUAUCAGAAAAUGUGAAGUUAGUCAACAUAGGUAGCUGGCAAAUAGUGUUGGAAACAUAUCCACUAAGCUUGUUAUGUGUAAUGUCAAUAACCUCAACAUUCUUCAAUCCUGACAAAUUUGGUAGUGUCCCAACAAACCCAUUUUGGCUAACAUCCAAAACAACUAUAUUCCCUAACAUACCAAGCUCUUGUGGAAAACAACCACCAAGACCAUUUCCCAAUAAAACAAUUUCAUUCAAGUUCGCCAUGUUUCCAAUUGAUUUUGGAAUACAACCUGUGAAUUGGUUGUUAGCAAAAGUCACAACAGAGGCUUUUGAUUUUCCAAGUGUUUCUGGUAUACCACAUGUAAAACGGUUAUUGUUUAAAAAUAUUGCGUCAAGUUCUUUCUCAAAGAGCUCAUGAGGUAAACAUCCUUCAAAGUCAUUGAAUCUAAUAUCCAAGUACUUCAAACCUGGCCAUGUGAGUACCACAGAAGGAAAAUUGCCGACGAAAUGGUUGUUACUGAUAUCAAACUCAUGCAUAAGGGUGAGAUUUUUAAAGCUCUCUGGAAUAAUACCACAGAAUCUGUUUGAGUUAACAUGGAAAAGAGCAGCAUCUUUCAAUAGGCCUAACUCUUCUGGAAGGUGACCAGCAAUGUCGGCGUGAGUAAGAUCGACACCGGCUACAACAUUCAAUUUAGGAUCAUCAAGAGCAGGAGCACAAAAGACACCAGUGUAAGAACAAACAUCAGUACCAACCCAAUUACCAGUUGUGUUAAAAGGGUCAGAAUGAAUAGCAUCUUUCCAUGCUUGAAAUGCAACAUAAGCAUGUUUUAGCCUCUCAUUAGGAAAAUUUGUGGCAGGAAAACUUGUGACACUAUCAUCAUUGUUAUUAUUAUUACCACCAUUGUUAUUGUUAUUACCACCAUUUCCACUUUCGAUUACAGAUGAUGAAGCGGGAGAAUGAUCAUUGUCAUCAUCAUUGUUAUUAUUAUUACCACCAUUUCCACUUUCGAUUACAGGUGAUGAAGCGGGAGAAUGACCGAUAUCAAAAGAGAAUAAUGGUGUUGGUGAUAGAGCCGGAGCUUGUGAUGGAGCCAUAACAUCUAGUAAUUGAGUCGGAGCUUCUGCUUGAGCCGGAUCAUCUGAUGAUUGAGCCGGAGUAUCAUCAAAAGUAAAUCCAAAUUCAUAUUUUGAUGGAUCAUCACCUUCACCGGAGACAACUACUGGAAAUUGAGGGCCAUCAAAAGAAAUGGUUGAAAAAGAAGGAACAAGAAGAGAAAAUAAGAUAAAGCAACCUAAGGCCUUGUUAGAAUAACGGUGAGCCAUGACUUCCCACCUUGGUUGGCCCAAGGCUGCAUAUAACAAAGCUUAUGGAAAUGAUGAAAAUAAGGGUGUUAUUAUAUUGAGGAAGAUAGAGAGGUUUGUUGAAUUUGACACCCAUUACGGAGUUGUAGAAAAUAGAGUUUCUAUGUCUAGAAUGUUUUUGUUCCGAAUGUCAUGGGUUCUCUCUAAGAUAGACACUAAUUUUGGCUUGACACUAAUAUUAGUAUUUGGCAUAUUUAGAUAGGAUAUAGAUUGUUAACAACCAUGAUUUCAUAACCUUAUAACCAAUUAUUGUUUGACUUGGUUGUUCUUUGACAAAAUCAGAACUAAAUUUCCAUUGGUUUCAAAUUAUAUCCCAUUUUGUAUGUAUUAAUUCAUCUCCAUGAACUCAUCAUAAUUAACCACAAAUGCAGCUAGCUAUAGAUAUCAGAGAGAGAAAAAUAUAGUUAUUUACAACAAAAAAUAAUGAUAAGACCAUUAUUAUUGUUAUUAUUAUUAUUUUUAAGAAUUAUCAUAUAUAUUAUUAUUAUCAUUAUUGGUUUUACCAUCAUUAUUAUUGUUACUAUUAUUAGUUGCCCUUAAAUAGGACGUUAUUGUAACAAAUCCUCUAAAAAAAAACCAAUUUGGUUUAGAAUUUCAACAUAAUAAUUAAUUUAAAAGAAGACAAAAGCUUUUUAACACAUAGUAAUUACACUAAAAGAAGACAAAAGCUUUUUACACUCUAUUUAACUAUUAUUACACUGAAGAUGAGAGUGAAGAUGGAGAAAAAACAUAUUCAGACCUAUCUAGAAAUGUAACUCCGGCUUACACACACAUAGCAAAAGAAAUAAUUCUUGCUCUUAGAGUUAUUAUACAACAUUAACAUAAUAGUAUAUACAUGCCAUUCUUUCAUACAACAAAACAUUAACAAGUGCACCACUACAUAUAUCAAGUUUUAAAGUUGUUCAAAACAUAAAUGAACAACACAAGUCUAAACAGAAGCCAAACUAAGCUAAAGUCUCUACUUGACCAAGUUGGUACCUCUGCUUCAUAUGAUAAACUUAAUUUUCUAGCUUAGCGCAUUAGCCUCUGAAAUUUAUAAAGGUCCGAUCCAAGGAGGCUGCCACUAAAGCAAGAGUUUUAGGUUCCAAAAUUUUGAGGUCUUGUAUUAGGUCUCAAAUCAUUUUAGUUUUAAAUAUGAAUAUGUAAAUUGAAUGGAGAGUCGACAUAGUUCAUGUUGUAAGUUCAACAAGUAGGUUAGUUAAAUGCAGAGUCGUAGUUCAUAUUGCAAGUUUAACCUCAAGGCUAGCUUUAUUGCGGGUUAUCCGUAACUUAAUUUUUUUUUUUCUCAUCUGAUUUCUAUUAAUUUAAUGUUAUUUGUUGGAAAUACAUUGUUUGUGAUCAAAGUUUGCAAAAGUAAAAGUGUAAUUUAGAUUUGUGUCAGGAUUAUAUACUAUUUUUCUAUUUUAAGACACAAUAAUUUGUAAAUAAACUUUAUAUGAAUAGUUGUUGCACUAAAGGGGUUAAGUCUAAAUGAAGAGGUUAUAUUUUCAUAAUGUGAAGAACUAAAAUUAGAGAGAUAUUAACAUUUCUGUCAGACUAACCUCAAAUAAAAUUGCUAUCGAUUGAAAAAACUUAUGGAAAAAAAUCUUAAUUUUUAUGUUACUCUCUAUCAACAGUACACACUUGAAAAGUCUCAAUGUAAAACUCAUUUUAGGUCUAAAAAAGUAUUUGGUCGGCCCUGCAAUACACUAUUUUAAUAAAAUGAUAACUAUGUAUAUGCUUGAAGGUUUCUAACUUUCAUGGUUAUGAUAUUUUGAAAGCUACCGCAACACUGUCACUAAUUCACUCUAAGAAGCUUGAUUAUAAACUUUUUAGCGAAGCAAAGGCUUUGUCAUACAUGUAUUACAAAAGAGUGGUGAUACGUUGACCACCAUAGGUGGCACACACAUCUUCUACCACCACACACUAAUAUGACACGUGGGGAUGUGACCCUCACCAUCCCACCUAACACUCUUUCAAAUGGGAUAAAAUUACUAAAAUAUCUUUUCACAUGGGGUACAUAAUGGAGGUAAGGAAAAAAGGGUGUCAGCAUAAAAUCAUUGAAUUUAUCCCCGUGAGAUUAGAUCAAUUGGUAGGGAUAUUGCAUAUUAUAUGCAGGGCUGGGGUUCGAACCCCGAACACCCCACUUCUCCACAAUUAAAUUGUAUGAGCUCUGACCAUUAGACUACUUGACAAAAAAAACAUUGAAUUUAAAAUUUAUGCAGCCAAUAGAGUGGUUAAAGGCUCAUUAAAGUAUGUAUCACAUAAAUGACUUAGAUAUCUGGUGUUUUUUUUUUUUUUUUUGAGAAAAAGAUAUCUGGUUGUUAUUGAACGACUUGUAAUUAAGUCUGGCUUAACCACUAUAGACAAAUGGACCGAUUUAGCCCAUAUUUUUUGGUUUAUUUAUUUCAUUUCUAUGCAAUUUUAUUUCUCACCAUUUUCUAUUUGGUGAGAUUAUAACUAGAUGCACAUUUAAUUUUUUUUUUUUAAUGCUAAAUGCCAAUUAAAGAACAAAUUCAUAACUUAUAACCUAUAAACUUAAAAUUUUUAAAACCUUUAACUUUUGUCAAAAAUAUGUUUAAGUCAAACAAAUCUCCUUUUUAUUAAUUCACAUAUUUAAAUAUAUUUUUAUUAAUAUUUUCAAAUUAGAUAAUAAUUUUUAAUUUUUUUACUAAUUUAUUUGAUUUUCAAAUAUCGCAUGGAUAUGUUUUGCAUUGGUUGGUCAGAAACAUAAUCAAAUGUUAUCAGGGCUAGUUGAUUUAAUCUGACCCAACUCAUACUAAAACAUGUGUCAAUGGAUGAGCUCAUCGUAUCCAACUCAUUUUGAUAAAUCGGUUAUGCAAAUUAUAUAAAAAACAUAUUCAAACUUUUUUUCGAAAAAGUUAAAUUAAUUCACCCAAAUUGACACGAGAGAAUCAAACUUAACACACGAACAUUGCUAUUUAAAAUGUUGAAUCAGAUAACAUACUAGAAUCACUUUUAUAUCAUAGCUCGAUGACUUUAAGUUUAAACUAUUCAUACAGAGAUAAAACCACAAUCAAAUCGCUCAAAUAAUUUAUUCUUAACCAUCCGGUUCGGUUUGGUUUGAUUUGUUUUAAGACAUUAAUUCAUUUUCCUAGUAAGAUUUGUCUUAGGUGGACAAAACAGAAACCGAACAAGAGAGAGCGUGGUUACCGCUAUGCUAUAUUUGAAGGUUUCAAACACUUUCCUUUCAGUUACAGAACAAGGAAGAAGAUGAUGAAGAAGAAGAAGAAGAUGGGUCCUCUUACAAUGGAUACCAUCUUUGAUCUCAUUGAAGAAGCUAAGCUCCGUUUUCUAUGGUGGUCUCUUUGUAUAUUCGCCAUUUCCUAUUUCUUAACACGUACGUCAUUUCAAUUCCAUUUCAUUCACGUUGUAUAGUGUUCAAUCUCGUUUUUUAAGGAUUGAUUUUGUUACAUUUUUUUUUUCUUUUUCUAUCUGGGUUUUGCUUUAACAGUGUAAAGUUUGAAUCUUUGAUUGGCAUUUGCUGUUUUAGCAUAUGGGUUUUGCUUUAUUAAAUAUUACUGCAAGUUUUGAGUCUUUUAUUGAUACUUGCAAUUUUCCUUUCUGGGUUUUGGUUUAUGAAUGCAAAUUUUGAAUAUUUGAUGAUGAAGUAAUGGGACAGACAUGGACAUGAGAUACAACAUUGACACGUCCGUAGUAAUUUGAGAAAAUAGAAGUGAUUGAUUGUAAUUUGUAAGUGCAUGUGUCAGUGUUGCACACCGACACAUAUCAAACACACUUUCAAUGUGUGUAAUGUCAUUGUUGAUUUGUCAAGUGUGAGUUAGAAGUCUUAUAUUUGAUGAAAAAGUUGAUGUUGAGCAAUAUAUAAGUGAGAUGACCCAUAUAGUUAACACUUUAAGAUUUUGGGUAAAUAUGUGGUGUUCAAACUGACUUGUGUAAUAGCCCUUAGCUCAAUGUGUUGAUCCACCACAGUUUAGACUCCCCUGGAAGUCUCAACAUUGUCAGACCCUGACAUGUGUCAGACAUGCCUUUAAUAUGAAUUGUCGGUGUUACAUUUGAUUGGUACCUACUAUUUUGAUAUCUAGGUAGUGUAUUAUUUGUUUAUAUUUUCUUUGUUGUUUAUUAUAGAUACAAGUAAAUCAAUGUGGAUGAAUAUACCAAUGUCCAUUCUUUUUUUUACUGGUCUGAAGAUUCUUGUGAACAAAGUGGAGUUUCGCUGGAAGGUUCAGCCACCUAGAUUACAAACUUACCUAUCUCAUUUGGAGAAAAAGCAGUUGCCGCUAGAUGAAGAACACCCCUCUACUUCACCUCCCCCUCCCAAAUGGAAGAAGAAAAUUGAUUCUCCUGUGGUGGAGGCUGCUUUGAACGAUUUCAUCGAUUUGAUAUUGAAGGAUUUCGUGAUAAAUAUGUGGUAUGCAGACAUUACUCAAGAUGGGGAGUUUCCUGAGCAAAUACGUGACUUAAUCAUGGACGCUCUUGCUGAAGUCUCGGUGAGGGUUAAAGAGAUAAACAUUGUUGACUUGCUCACAGGGUAUAUUGUUUUUCUUGCUUUUAUGAAGAAAGGGGUUUGGGGAGUUAUUGACUUGCUACUUUGAUAAUGAAUUGAUUGAUACUAUACUCUUCCCUAAAUAUAGGACCCUCUUAAGAUUUUUACUCGUCCCUUUUCAUAGAUCCUGUUUGAAAUUUUCAACCGCAUUAAUUAUUUCUUUACCUAUGCACCCCUAAUUAUGUUACAUCUUUUUCUUCAACUUGUAAUAAAUAUUAAAAUGGAAACAUAAACGAAUUUUCUCUAUUGAAGGAUAACUUUUUAAAACAACAUCAAUUGUAAACAAAUUUAAUACUGCUAUAAACAUUCUUAUUCUCAUGAUUUAGUCAACAAAAUCUUAUAUUAAAAGAUGAAGAUAGUACUAGAUAAGAUUAAAAAAGCCACUAAAUGUGUUAUGUCUCACUGGCAUUGCAGUGGUAUAGUUGAUUUAAUCAGUGAUCAUAUAGACCUCUUCAGAAGAAAUCAAGCUGCCAUAGGUAGGGAUGUUAUGUUAACAUUGUCUUCUGAGGAAAGAGAUGAAAGAUUGAAAUUCCAUCUGUUGAACUCCAAGGAGCUUCACCCAGCACUAAUAUCUCCAGAGAGUGAGUACAAGGUGUGAGUGGAGUGUCCAAAUGUUAUCUUUGUUUAGCUUUUGAGGAAUUUAUACAUCUUGUACCUUACCUGAUGAUUUAACUUUCUUCAUUAGGUUCUUCAGCGGCUAAUGAGUGGAGUAUUAGCUACGGUAUUAAGAAAAGAAGAAGCUCAAGUUUCAGUCGUUCGAUCAAUAGCUCGGGAAAUCCUAACUUGCUUGAUAUUGCAGCCUAUAAUGAAUUUGGCAUGCCCUGCGUAAGUUGCUACGUAUUUUAUCUUAUAUUUCAUUUAUUGAACCUUUACUGUUGGGAGAAUAUGAUUCAAUUUAGUAAAUAACCUAAGAGGUAACAAGCAUAGAAGUAUCCAAUAGCAUAAAACCUAUGCGAUGAUAAAAUAUACAUUGAUCAAAGCCUUAAUCAUUAAAGUAAAAGUUAAAAAAUACCAUUGCAUAAUACAAUGAAGUGAUAAGUUGUUGACCUUAUGACUUAUUAACUACUUUGGAGAGUUUUCUUUGAUGAAGAUUAUGUUUCCCCUUAAUAUUUUUGGUUGUCUGAGAUGCUGGAAGGUACGAGAAAUCAUAUGCAUUACCACCUGUUUCCAUUCUCAAGCUGGCUAAUUUUAAGUUAAUAUAGUUUCAAGCUUAAAAUAUCUUAUCUGUGGAUCCAAGAAAUAAAAGUUUAGCAUAUUAUCUAAUCUAAUCGAUACAAGAAACUGGAUUUUCUUCUUGAUUUCCUAAGUAAACCUAUCCAUGUUGGUCAUAUCCGACUGAGAAUGUUAUAGAGUUUUAACUAUCCAUUUUUUUCUUGAUGAACAGGUAUAUCAAUGAGCUGAUUGAGUCUCUUCUACUUAUCCUUAAUGACGGGGAUAUAAAUUGGAUGGGCGGUGGUGAUCAUAGUUCAAAUGCUACCAGUACCACUCAUAAUCACGAUAAUCACACAGCCUCUGCUGAUUGGGCACAAAUGCUGGACGCUGCAACUCAGAGAAGAACUGAAGUUCUUAUGCCUGAGAAUCUUGAGAACAUGUGGGCAAGAGGAAGGAAUUACGGAAGGGAAACCCGUAAAAAUGCCAAAUCUGGCUCUCCUGCAAAACAUUCUUCUGCAGACCAUUCACUCUUUGAGAGACAUUCCACUCAUGAAACAUCACCGAGGAAACCUGGUGGAACACAUGCUUAUCCAUUGCAUAGUGUGGGUUCAGAUCCCAUACUAUAUGAUGGAAGCACAACUAUGUCUGAGUCGUCAAUGGAUCAUGGCAAGAGUUUAUCUUUUGAAUCAGAUCGUCAAGUUGCCGAAGUGAGUGACAUCAUGGAUCUUGGUUCUAAUAUGCAUAAACUUCCACUCAGGAGAACCGGAUCCGGAAGUUCUUCUCUCUUGGGAGCCCAUCCUCAUAAAGGAGGGUUCAAUGCUGAGUUCCACGCCCCUGAAUUUAAGAAGCAUGAAGGAUUCUGGGGAAAGAGUAGUUUUGACAUGGCUACCAGGAGAGAGGGACAGGGUGUUCCAAAGCUUCGGUGCCGGGUAUGCACUCUUGACUAUAAAAGUUGUGAGUUCUGAACUUUGGAAAAACCUUAAAAAAAACUACAAUAAAUAAAGCUCAUUAGUUUUCAAGUUUUUGUUAGUUUUCCUCCAUAUAAUUGGGACCAGAAGGAGUAUACUAUUCUAAAUUUAUAAGUUGUAAAUUGAUUUAUGAAAUAUGAAUAAGAAUGGAAUCAAAUCAGAUAGAUGGAAAAAAUUUCUGCGAACACUUGCAUUUAACUAAUUUGGUUGUUUUUUAUUGUCUAACUGUGCGCUGCAGGUGAUGGGAGCAUAUUUUGAGAAACUUGGAUCGACUUCUUUUGCUGUAUAUUCAAUUGCAGUGACUGAUGGACAAGAAAAAACUUGGUUUGUAAAACGAAGGUAUAAGGUUUGCUUGUUUAAAUCUUUAGGCUCUAACAGUACAACAACAUAUUUGAUCACUUAAACAUUUUCUGUCGUACCAUUCUAUUUCCCGUAAUUUUUAGUCGAGACUCAUUCAUGAUAGAGAAUAAAUAUGACAGAGGUUCAACAUUGUUCUGUUUGAUACUUAUAUUUGUGCUUUUGGAUCACUGAAUUUUCAUUUUAUGAUAUAUUCAGAUACAGGAACUUUGAGCGAUUGCAUCGACAUCUAAAACAUAUUCCCAAUUACACAUUACAUUUGCCUCCCAAAAGGAUAUUUUCCUCAAGCACGGAGGAUGCCUUUGUACAUCAGCGUUGCAUUCAACUUGAUAAAUAUCUCCAUGUAUGCUCGAUCAUUUUACAACUCUUCAAAGAAAUAUUUCCUGCCAUAACUUUUUAAUUGCUAUGGCAUUGCUCAAUUACGCUGUCUUUUUCAGGAUCUCCUGUCAAUAGCUAAUGUUGCUGAACAACACGAAGUAUGGGACUUCUUAAGUUCUUCUUCAAAGGUUUGCAUCUGCUUGGUAUUUCUUAUCAUAACAUCAUUUGAGUGACCAUAAUAGGUUGGAAGAGUGACAAUCUAACAAACUUUUCCGCUGUUUUCCUCCUGAAGAAUUACUCUUUUGGGAAACCUUCUUCAAUGAUGAGGACCCUGGCAGGUAAAUAAAAGGUUUUAACAUUUUGGAUUUCAAUCAUACUUUCGGUUUAAGUCUCAGGUUAUAGAUAUUAUAUUUUUGUGCAUGGUGACACAAGUAGAGCGAAAUAAAAGGAAUAGGGUCUAUGUUUGGCGAAAUAAAGGAAGUUCAAAUUAGUCUGUUAUUAAAAGGAGAUUGGAGAUUUCUGUUAGUUUUUUAUUAAAAGGAGAAUGGAUUUUUCUGUUUGUUUGUUUGGAGGGGAGCAGGGAGGGGGGUACAGGGAAAGGUUAGGCAUCGUUUAGACAAAUUGGAAGUGGAGAGUUCAGGUCUCUAGAAUAGUUGAGAUUAUUUUCAACUCAAUAGUGAAUUCUUAUUGUCAUGUUGGAAAUUCCAUCUUCAGGUCUUCCCCUAGCUGCCUAGUUGCGGCAUUUGGGUUACCUUUGUUGCAGCCUCCAACACCUUCAUCGUGUUGGGUGUGAAGGAGUUGAUUUAGUCCCACAUUUUCAUAGAGAUAUGGCCUAUGUAGUGCUUAUAAAGUUUGGGCAGCCUUCACCUUACAAAGUGGUUUUGUAAGGUUGGGUUAGGCCCAACUUAAAAUUCUAAGACCUUUCAACUUUUCCGGUCCGUUAUAUCAGAUAAAAGUGUUUGCCUUUACCGUGUUAGUGUGAUUUUCAUUGUUGUGUUGGCUGAUUGGGCAGGAUCCUUUGUCUUUAAUAUCUGGUGGUUUCAGAUUGGAAGCCAAGUUGUUUUAUAGAAAAUUCUUCCAAUGAAUUAUUUAUCUGCAACCAAUGUAAACUAAUUCUAAAUAAAUAGGGAAACUGGAAAAUGAAUCAUAAUAAUAUCUAGAUAAUAUGAAAAACUAAUUCUAAGAGAUAAUCUCAGAUGAUCUAACAUUAUAAAUUAAUCUUACGAGAUCAACUAAGAUAGUACAACAUAAUAUAAAGAUAGUAUAAGGUAUUUUCUAAUAUUCUAACACUUAUUUUGGUGUAUUUAAAUGUAGGAGCCACACUCUAUUGUUUCAUAUUUGUAAAAUUCAGUUCCUAUCAUAAUGCUCAAUUUUUUACACUGGCAGUCAAUGUAGAUGAUGCUGUGGAUGAUAUUGUACGGCAGUUUAAAGGUGUUUCAGAUGAUUUAAAGCGAAAAGUUGGCACUGCAUCAUCAUCCCCUACCGCUGAAGGUUCUUCAAAAUCUUUCACUUGGAACAUGGAUGAAAUGGAUAGAAGUAACCCGAGUAAAAAUGCUGCAGAGAGUGCGUUGAGCUCUGAUACUGAGGAAGGUGAAAAAGAAGGCAAUUAUAGCCAUGAGAGUAUAGCUAGAGAAGUAGCAGAAGAUAGUUUGUGCCUUAAUGAUAAUGAAUUGAGCUCAAAGGAUUAUUCACAAGGGGUGUUAAACCAUGGUAAUGAGUUUAGUAACUUGGAUCUUGAUAGGAAACAUGAUGUUGUAAUCGAAGCAAAGGUUGGCAAGGAUGUUCCAGCUACAAAUGGAAGUCUGAGUCACGAUAAUCCGGAAGAUCCAAUUGGAGUGCCGCCUGAGGUCUGUGCCACUUUUAAAGCACUAUAGCUGUGCUUUAACAGUAGACUUAAAUUAGACAAUUACUAACUUUAAAAACAUAGUUACCCACUUGAACAUUUACAAGCUGCUAAACUAUAAGACAAGUAAGCUUCUCCAAACCAUACUAGUGCACGACGAGCCCAUGCAAAGGGAUUAGUUAAGAUAUGCCAGAUUCCACCAAGUAUACAAAUGGAACCCAACCAUACAUGCCCUCCAAUUAUGUCUUCCAAAUUGUCCACACUAACAAUCCACUCCUCUCCCCAAAAAGGAGAUUUUAGUAAAUAACCGUUAGGGACUUGAGGAUCAAUUUAACUUUCUUUUUACUUUAAAAAGCAAUUCAGUAAUAUUAAUAAUUUUAACCAUUUUGCAGUGGACUCCACCUAAUGUGACUGUCCCUAUUCUGAAUUUGGUUGACAACGUCUUUCAGCUUAAUAAAAGAGGCUGGCUAAGGUAUAUUACUCUUUCUGAUAUUUCUUCUCUGUUUCCAAUUCAGUAAAAGCUAUUAAAUAAUGUCUUUAUAUUUUCUAGAAAUGUUAAUCUUAUGCCAAUUUACAUAUGCUUCUUUUAGUGUUGUUUAAUGUAUUUUUUCUAAUCUUAUGCCAACUUACAUAUGCUUAGAGACAACUGUUUUCUUCACUUUCACCUAACAGCUUAAGAUUUCAGGAUGCUCCAUUCUUGACAUUAUACAAAUUUCGAAAACUGAAAACGUAACGAUGAAUUGAUUUGCUGCCGUUAAGUCCUUACCCCUUUUCAAUAUAUUAAUUAAAAUUUUAACAAGAAAUAAUCAAAUUUUAAUCUUUUGUAACUUUCAUGAAAUUUGGUACUUUUGGAAUAAAUGGAUUUUAUUGAGCAACUGUAAUGAUGCUAUUUUAUUUUUUUUAAUUUAGAAGAUGUAGAAGUUGCUAAUGCUAGUUCAUUUUUGUUCAUGCAGAAGACAGGUCUUUUGGAUAUCAAAACAGAUACUACAGUUGGUGAUGGAAGACGCAAUUGAUGAUAUACUCCUGAGUGAGAUUCAUUGGCUCCGGAGAGAGGAAACCAUCGCGCAAGGAAUUCGGUGGGUCCAAGAUGUAAGGUUUAAGCCAAAAUUUCACCGGAAUAUUGUUUGCCAACUCAGAAUGAAUUUUUUCAUGCAAAUUGGGAAUAUGACACGCUGUAAUUAACUGGCUGUCAAUGUCUACCAUUUUCUCAAUAAAGUUAACCUAGUAUUCUCAAAUUUUCUAUGCUACCAAAUGUUAUUGAAUGCUGUUGCUUUAAACUUCAUUUGAUUUGGUAUUUUGUCAUUAUCUUAUUUUAAUAUAUUUUAUGAAUCAGCCAAAGUUGUUUGUUAAUUCACUUCUAAUCAAAUUGCCAUUAUUUGUUUCACAUGAAAUGAAAUAAACUACCUGCUUAUUUGGCUUGUAACUGCUUGGCUUUUUCAUCGUUGGAUUGAGCUCGUAAAUGCUUGAUUGUUGGGACUCUUGACUUGUUUUAAGUUUUCAAAAUAUUUUGCCCGCAUUAAAAAUGAAUUUACCUGUCCUAUGUAUCUUUUGUGUUUCUUAUUGCAUCCAAAAAAGACCAGUUUGCUUUUUUCUGUUUGGUAAUGACAAGUCACAGUUUGCAGUUGAUGGGGGUAAAGUCCUGCCCAAAAUGUCUUCACAUGAGUUAAAAAUUACAUAUUUAAAAACAAAAAAAUAUAAAAUACUUACCAAUGGCUUAUCCUAAUGCUUCAUGCUGUCUUCUUAUUCUUGCAGAUCCUCUGGCCAGGUGGCACCUUUUUCUUAAGAAUUCAGACCCCUCAGGUGUUUAUUGGUGGUGGUGUAACUGAUCAAAAGCCUUUACAGACCAUAAGUGAAUCUGGUGAAAGGACCAGUCAGAAAUCACAAUUAUGGUGUUUCGAGGAACAACUAGAAGCUGCUCGUAGAGCAAGUGAUGUGAAGAAACUACUCUUUGGUUAGUUCUAUUUUUGUAAAGUUUGUAUUGGAUAUUCUUCACUUUGGACUUAGGCUUGGCCCAACCUCAGAAGAUAGUUCAGGCACUGAAUGUUGUUCCCCACUUAUAAUUAUGGAAUGUGGGACUCAACACUCCCACUCGUGCCUAGAAUUGAACUUCUGGGCAUGUAAUUUGCACUUGGUCAACAUCUGCAGAUAUCCCAAGGAUUCUAGGAUAGGCUCAAAUACCAUCUUAGAAGUUGGGCUUAGGCUCUAACUCAACUCAACAAAAUCGGCUUGCUAGAUGAUGACUAUUUUUUUAGGACUACAUGGGCCAUAGCUCCAGUUAAUGUGAGACUCUCAACACACCCUCUCAUGCUGAGGUUUGGGCAUCUAAAGCGUGAGUUAAUGUGGGUGGAAUAACAAGGAUCUCAACACCCCCUCACUCUCAAGACUGAAAAUCUAGAGUGUGGACAAAUGCAGAUGGAAUAACAAAAAUCUUGGCACAAAACGGAUAUAGGAGGCUUAUGUAUCAUCUUAGGUUUUGGGUCAAGAGUUGGUGUCAGUCCAUUUUUGUGGCCUCUCACUUCAUUCCAUUGAUUAGUAGAGCUCCUCCCCGUCUACUAUUUCUGGAUCCCAUCUCUUUUUUUGGUGGUGUCUCUUGUCGCCCAUCUCUUACAAAUGGUAAUAGAGUCGAUGAUUAUGGUGGGAUGUGAGUUAGUGAGUGGUGGGGUUAUGUUUGACUAUGCUGCACCUGUUUGUUGACAAUCCCGUAAACUUGACAAGACUUCCACUUGAAGGGGGGCAUAACAAUGUAGAGUCCCACACUUAAGGGGGUGAUUGUUGUAAAUAUGCAAGUAUGAAGUUGUGGAAGGCUCACAUUGGUUGACGAUAGGUUAAGUGAAGACAAUAUAAGUGCACAAGCCCUUGUUAGCAUUGCCUUAAAACUUUGGAUCAAGAUGCGGUGUCAGCCCAUUAAUGUUCUCUCUCUCAUCAGCCCAUUGAUUAGGGCUCAUCUUCGUUUGCUCUUUCAGGAUCCCUCUCAUCGCCCAUCUCUUUCAAGGGUUUUGAGUCUAAAUCAACCCCAUAAGCUAGCUCUUGGGGUGAGGAUUGUACCACACUAAUAAUCAUUGUUCAGGCCAUAUCAUCAUUAUUUAAUGUGUGACUUUCAGCAUUCUAUAUCUUGAUCUUUCUUCUAAGACAAAUGCUUACAUCACGUUUAUCUUUGACCCAUUUUCCUAGACACAUAUAGGUUUUUACUUCUUGUAAACCUCCCAUGUAUUUUGACUAUUAAGCAAUAUAACUAUUAGUGAUAAAAAUUAAUAAAUCCCUAUUAUCCUUGAAACUUCAAUGUUUGUUGUGCAAAUUUAAGAGUAGCUAACAUUUUUAUGUAGUGCAGAAAUGACACGAGGGUAACUUUAUUGAGUGCUUCGAUCCAUGAACCUAAAUGACUAGACCAUAGAGUGCAUGAUUGCAAACUUGAAGGAGUAGUUGGUCAUAGUAAGGAUGCAUAUAUACAUUACCCUCUAUAGUAUUGGUGCAUCAGGGAACUAUUUAUUCAAAAUGUUGCUAUCCUUUUCUUUUUUUCAGUUUUCUUCUUUAAAGUUUGAUGCCUUCUGUAUUUAGUCUUUUUGUUGCUUUAAUUUCUUUCUACUCUAUGGUUUUUCAGUUAGUCUCUUUCUCUAUUAAGUUUUGGGGUCAUAAAUAAUUCUUAUGAAUUUCAAUGUAAAUUUCAAAAACUAAAAAAGGAGUGAGUGUCGUAUACAUUCAUCCUAAAAGUGGAGAAUGUGUUAUUCAAAGACUCUUUAAAAGGCUUGAAUGUAUGACUGUAUGAGGCAUUUAAUAUUGGUUAUCCACUGUUUGGUCUAGUGAAGACAUUGAUAAAAAAAAUAUGGUCUGGUGGUAGAAGCACCCAAAUCCAAGAGAAGUGAGCGAGUGUAAUUCUUGAGCAAGUUAUUAAGUUUUGUAGGGUGAUAUACACAUCGGAUAUACUUUUCCCAAAAAUCUUGCAAUUUGUUUAGGAUAGCUUCUUGUGAACUUAAUGGCAUUCGCUGAAAGAAUGUUAUGGUAUUUUCAUGAUAUUUUUGUGAUCCUUAUAACCUUGUGAAAGUUGAGGUGAAUAGCAUACGACGUUCAAGGAUUUGACAUAUAAAUUUUUCUCCGUUUUUGUCAGACGGAGCUCCAGCAGCCUUAGUAAGUUUAGUCGGGCAGAAGCAGUACAGACGUUGUGCCAGUGAUAUAUAUUUCUUUAGUCAGGUUAAAUUUCUUUCUCGUUGAUUUGAGUUAAAUACACUUUGAUUACUGUAAAAUCGUCACGGCUCAACUUUUGUUUAUUUUUAUUCAUUUUUAGUUCCGAUAUCUAACAAAAACCGCGUGUUUUUAAUCCCUCAAGGACUAAAAACACACUUUAAUUCUGUAUGAACUAAAGCUAAAGAUUUGUAAAUGAACAACACUGAUAACUAUUUUAUGUGAUUGCAGUCUUCCAUAUGUGUGAAGCAACUUGCUUAUGCAAUCCUUGAACUUCUCCUUAUAUCGGUCUUCCCCGAAUUGCGCAAUGUCGUCAUGAGUGUUCAUGAGAAUAUGCAUGUUCACCAACCUGUAUAGACUAAGGGUUUCCUUCUCAGCUACUUGGAGUGGCAUACUUAUGUUCCUAACUAUAGCUCAUUUUAUGAGAAAAACAAAAAAGAAGAAACAUGAUUGAUGGUUUUGUCUCCUCUAGGGAGAGAAUAUUUUUGUAAACUUAGAGAUUUUGUACAUAAAGAUAAAGAUUCAUUUUGUAUUGUGUGGUAGACUGAUAAAGAUUCAUUCUGACUUGUGAAAUGCAUCUAGUGAAUAUUUUGCUUUCUUUCUCUUUCUCACCUUCUAUCAAUUUAUUUACAUACUUACAUUUUUUUCCACAUUUGGUUCCUAUCAUAUAUCUUUUUUAAGGAAGAAUCCCAAAUGUUCAAGUUUUCAAUGAUGUUUUGGAAAUUGUUUUACAAAUCAAAGUUAAAAUAAAAUAGUGAAAAGAAAAGCUCAGAUAUAUGUGUGGAAAACUUAAAGUCCCUGACCUUACAAAAAAAAAGUCUCAUAAAUUUGUAUUCAAUGGAUCACACUAAAUUUUUGUAGAUUAUCAUUGAUGAAUAAAAUAAAAAAAUAUGGGACAAACUUUUAAAUUUGUUUUGAGUGGCCGUGAAAAAGGAAAAGAAAACUUCCAUAACAAAAAGAAAACGAUCAACACUGAAAAAUACAAAAAUGGAGAGAAAAAAAUAAUAAUUCAACACUGAUUGAACUCUUAAUCAAUGGUUGAGAUCUCAAAUUAUAAUUCAAAAUUUGCAUCUUUAUCUUUAGAUUGAAAAAUUUAAAAGAUUUUUUUUUGACUAAUUGUGAGAAGAGAAAACUUCCAUAACAAGAAGGAAACAAUCAACAACCGAAAAUACAAAAAAGAAGAAAAAUAAAUAACACUGCAUAGUGCUUUUAUGAAAGAAAAAAUAACAACACAAAGUGCUAAGAUAAUUAAGGGUGGCAAAAAUACCUAUGCUCACGGGUAAAAUCCGUUGCUGGUACGAAGCGGGUAGCUAAAUAGGUAUCCACGAGUAUUAUAAACGGGUAUUUGACUACUCAUUAUUAUAUGGAUACAAACACAGAUUUGAUUGUACUCAUGCCACGAAUAUCCAUAUCCGAUAAUAAAUUAAGUAAAUUACUAAAAUAUCAUAUUAUAUAUAUAUAUAUAUAUAUAUAUAUAUAUAUAUAUAUAUAUAUAUAUAUAGGAUAUCAUUUUAUUUCAGGAACUGGGAAGUCAAAUGAAGUCAGUGAAAUUUGGAAUGCAUAUGAAAUUUAGAUGUUUAUUUGGAUGUUUUUAUGCUUUAAUUUUACGUCAAGAAUUUGUAUUGAUUAUGUAAGCAUCGUGAAUUUUCUAUGGAUUAUGUAUGAUUGAUAAAAUUUUGAAUGGAUUAUAUACAUAUAUAUAUGUGUGUGUUUAAAAGUUGAAGUUUUUUGGUAAUUAGAAAAAAAAUUAUUCUUUGUAACAAAACAAAAAAAUCCACGGGUACACAUGGAUAUCUCAAUAUCAGUGGGUACCGCAUAAUGUAUACCCACGAGGAUACGGAGCGGACACGGGUAUCAUAUUUAUCCAACGGGGCAGGAACGAGUAUCAUACGAUCUGUAUCCAUGAGUAUCCAUUGACAUCCCUAAAAAGAAUUGAAACACUUCAUAAUGAGAUCAAGAAUAUCUUAUGGGCACUGCAAAACCAGCAUCAAUAAUUGUUUGUUGAAGGAUUGGAACAUCAACAUCACUAUGAAUUCUUGAUGCUAAACUCUUGUAUCAGUAGUAUUUUGUUAGUUAUUCAACUAAUGUUAUUGUUAUUGUGUCUUUUUAAUUUUAAAAAUUUCAUGUAAAUAUUCACGUUUAUCUUUAAUAGAAGUACAUGAAGGGUAUCUUUCGGCUUUUUUAAAGAUUUGAAGAUUUGGAAUUUUAUUAAUAUGAGAUUCGGAUUUACGUACUCCUUAGGUAAGUAAUAUAUACUACUCCUUCUAAAAAUUUGCUUUCAAUUCUUUUCUCACGUUGUCUAAGGUAUUGCCUUUUCACUGCUUAUCCAAAAUAGAUAAAUUACUCUUUUAUUUAACUAUAGGAUUGGCCAUGGUGUUUGUUUGAAUUUUCUGUUUCAUUUCCCCAAACUCACGAUUAAAGUCAUAGUAAAUGGAAAGUUGUAUAUAGUAGAUUUUCCACUUUUUUAUUUUUCAUUCCUUUCUUCUUUAAUAUUAAUCGGAAAGGAAAGACAAAAGUUUAUGGGUCAUUUGUGAUAGAUAUUUUUGUUGAGGCAAAAUUCCUAAUUAAUUUUAAAGAUAAUAAACUUUAAUGAUUAAGGAUUAAAUGGACUUUGAUUAAUUUCUUGGUAUUUAACUUGUGCUCUUGAGUGUUUUAACUAAGACAGGAAAAAAGUAUGAAUCAUACCAAGAUGCAUAAAAUCAAAGGACAUUGAAUCCAUGAACUAAUUCUGAAGUUCAGAAAGUUUGUUCAGAACGUUCUGAUGAUAGUUCAGAAGGUUGUUCAUAAGCAACCCAGAAUUCAUCAAGAACAUGAAGAGCAUGCAAGUACACUUGACAUGAAUAAAAGGUCCAGAAAAGUNNNNNNNNNNNNNNNNNNNNNNNNNNNNNNNNNNNNNNNNNNNNNNNNNNNNNNNNNNNNNNNNNNNNNNNNNNNNNNNNNNNNNNNNNNNNNNNNNNNNNNNNNNNNNNNNNNNNNNNNNNNNNNNNNNNNNNNNNNNNNNNNNNNNNNNNNNNNNNNNNNNNNNNNNNNNNNNNNNNNNNNNNNNNNNNNNNNNNNNNNNNNNNNNNNNNNNNNNNNNNNNNNNNNNNNNNNNNNNNNNNNNNNNNNNNNNNNNNNNNNNNNNNNNNNNNNNNNNNNNNNNNNNNNNNNNNNNNNNNNNNNNNNNNNNNNNNNNNNNNNNNNNNNNNNNNNNNNNNNNNNNNNNNNNNNNNNNNNNNNNNNNNNNNNNNNNNNNNNNNNNNNNNNNNNNNNNNNNNNNNNNNNNNNNNNNNNNNNNNNNNNNNNNNNNNNNNNNNNNNNNNNNNNNNNNNNNNNNNNNNNNNNNNNNNNNNNNNNNNNNNNNNNNNNNNNNNNNNNNNNNNNNNNNNNNNNNNNNNNNNNNNNNNNNNNNNNNNNNNNNNNNNNNNNNNNNNNNNNNNNNNNNNNNNNNNNNNNNNNNNNNNNNNNNNNNNNNNNNNNNNNNNNNNNNNNNNNNNNNNNNNNNNNNNNNNNNNNNNNNNNNNNNNNNNNNNNNNNNNNNNNNNNNNNNNNNNNNNNNNNNNNNNNNNNNNNNNNNNNNNNNNNNNNNNNNNNNNNNNNNNNNNNNNNNNNNNNNNNNNNNNNNNNNNNNNNNNNNNNNNNNNNNNNNNNNNNNNNNNNNNNNNNNNNNNNNNNNNNNNNNNNNNNNNNNNNNNNNNNNNNNNNNNNNNNNNNNNNNNNNNNNNNNNNNNNNNNNNNNNNNNNNNNNNNNNNNNNNNNNNNNNNNNNNNNNNNNNNNNNNNNNNNNNNNNNNNNNNNNNNNNNNNNNNNNNNNNNNNNNNNNNNNNNNNNNNNNNNNNNNNNNNNNNNNNNNNNNNNNNNNNNNNNNNNNNNNNNNNNNNNNNNNNNNNNNNNNNNNNNNNNNNNNNNNNNNNNNNNNNNNNNNNNNNNNNNNNNNNNNNNNNNNNNNNNNNNNNNNNNNNNNNNNNNNNNNNNNNNNNNNNNNNNNNNNNNNNNNNNNNNNNNNNNNNNNNNNNNNNNNNNNNNNNNNNNNNNNNNNNNNNNNNNNNNNNNNNNNNNNNNNNNNNNNNNNNNNNNNNNNNNNNNNNNNNNNNNNNNNNNNNNNNNNNNNNNNNNNNNNNNNNNNNNNNNNNNNNNNNNNNNNNNNNNNNNNNNNNNNNNNNNNNNNNNNNNNNNNNNNNNNNNNNNNNNNNNNNNNNNNNNNNNNNNNNNNNNNNNNNNNNNNNNNNNNNNNNNNNNNNNNNNNNNNNNNNNNNNNNNNNNNNNNNNNNNNNNNNNNNNNNNNNNNNNNNNNNNNNNNNNNNNNNNNNNNNNNNNNNNNNNNNNNNNNNNNNNNNNNNNNNNNNNNNNNNNNNNNNNNNNNNNNNNNNNNNNNNNNNNNNNNNNNNNNNNNNNNNNNNNNNNNNNNNNNNNNNNNNNNNNNNNNNNNNNNNNNNNNNNNNNNNNNNNNNNNNNNNNNNNNNNNNNNNNNNNNNNNNNNNNNNNNNNNNNNNNNNNNNNNNNNNNNNNNNNNNNNNNNNNNNNNNNNNNNNNNNNNNNNNNNNNNNNNNNNNNNNNNNNNNNNNNNNNNNNNAUUGUAAGGUGCAGGAUUUGAGAGGUUAUCUCAAGCAUCAUAGUGGAAACUCUCACAAGAUUGUGAGGAGUGGACUAACCCACAUUGGGUGAACCACUAUAAAUUCUCUGUGUGUUGAUUCUCUCUUCCCUAUACUCUUUACUUACUGCAUACACAACACACACAAACACAUUUACUUUAUUAAACUGUUUUUGCAAUCAGACAUCAGAACGUUCUGAAGUCUGUUUUAACUUAACCAUUCCAAAUUUCAACUUGAGAAUCAAUUUUAAGUUACAGGUUUAAUUUUUAAAGGGUCACAAUUCAAACCCCCCUUCCUUGUGACUAUUUUAUCUAUUUCAAUUUUAUGUGAUUGUUGUUUAUUAAGCACAUUUGUAUAUAACCAUACUUUAAAAAUAUUGUGUUUGAAUGCGCUUCACAUUUUGAAAAAUCACAGGAAAUAGCCUUUAUUUUUAUUUUAUUUGUGAAACUCCAAUUCAAUGCAUACAUCGCAAAUCGAGAGAAAGAAAACACGAGGAUUGGAUGGAAUGUGUUUUAUUAUGAUUCAUUUGAUACAUUCAUUUUUUGAAAAUUCACACAAUACAACCAAUUACUUAACAUACCAUUCCAUCCCCACCCCAUUACUUUUCAUUUAUCCAAACACAAUUAAGUCUAAGAUUGUUUGAUGGAAAAAUUAUAAAAUCUAACACAAGUUUCAAGAUAUUCGUUGUUAUGAAUCUAAUGUUUUCAUUCAGAAUAAAGACACAGUGUAAUCUCUCAUAAUUUACAUCCUAUUCAUAUUUAACAUGUAGAUGUAUUUAUCUUGCAAGACGUGCGAAAGUAGUGUACCACUUUUAAAUAAUUGUCAUUCACAAAUCAAUCAAUUAAAAUAUAAUUGUGCAUCAAUUUUGUGGAAUGUCAUAUGAAUGUAAAAAAUAUUGUUUGACGGAACUUUAUAGAUCUCCCAAAUUUUAAUGUAUUUGAAUGUUAUUCUAAUUCAUCAUUUCAUUUGACUCUUGGUGAUGAAUAACGUUUGUUUAAAAUAAUAUAAAUAAAUAUUACAUAAAUAUAUUAGAUCAUAGCAAUGUUUUGUAUAAUUCAAUCAAAUGUAAUCUUCUCGAUGGCCAUGUGAAGUUGUAGGUAUUGUUUGUUGUAUUAAGGAUAAAUGUUACGUUAAUUAUUAAGUUUAACGAGUUUGAUCAUUGUUAUUGUAUAAAUAUAUUAUAUGCAUUAUAUUAUAUUUUCCACUUGUGCCAUUGGUUUUUCACUUUGACAAUUGAGUAUUUUUUAUAUGAUAUGGUAUUUGUCUAUGUAUUUGAGAUAAUUAUGCCUUUAGAUUGCCAAUGUAAUCUCUCAUAAUUUGCAUCCUAUUCAUAUUUAACAUUAUGAUGUAUUUAUCUUGCAAAACGUGCAAAAUUAAUGUACCAUUUUUAAAUGUAAAGGAUAUUACUCGAUCAAAGGAUAUGCUUUUGUCUAAUCUCCCAAACUUUAAUGCAUCUACAUCUUACUUUCAUUCUUCCUAUUAUUUGAAGUGAUGAAUAAUUUCGUUAAAUUAAUAAAAAUAAAUAUUACAUAAAUACAAUUGACUUUGGCAAUGUUUCGUAUAAUUCAAUCAAAUGUAGUUUUAGUCGUGCACCGCACUGGUAAUGGUAUCCUAGUUUAUCAUCAUAGCCAUAACCACUGUUAAAAAAAGGCAAAAAAUGAUGAACCAAUGAAUUUUUUUAACAAGGAAAACACGGCUGAGAAGAACAAAGAAGACACAAAGAUCUCUCUCAACUGUGAUUUACUAGAUUAAAAAUAUGCAAUGGAUCAAAGAGAAACUAAAAAAGAAUAAAGGAAACUUAUGAAAAGUGAAAACCCUAACUAGGAGAGGCAAACACUGCUGCUUUACUUUUUUUUGUGGGAUGAAAAUGGUUGGCAAAGGUAAAUAAGGUGGUAUUUAGAGAGAGAGAGAGAGUGGCAUGAGCUGUAUUGCUAGGGUUAAACAUUUUGCAAAAGAAAAUAUUAAAUAGUUCAAAACAAUCAUAAAUGCAAAGAAGGGAGUGGUAGAUCCUCAUAUUAAAUUUUUUAGAUUUUAUUAAGCUUUUAGUUUACUUGUAAGAAAAGUAACAAUAACCACUUUCAGCUAAGUUCAGAAGUUAUUUCUUCAUGUCUCUUUUACAUUUGCGAUUUAUGUGCAAUCAACAACACACUGCUAGCAUGUUGAGAAAGAAGAAAUAGGGUGCAUAUUUUUUCUUGCAAAUAAAUAGUAAGAAAUUACUCUCUUUUGAUUAAAGAGCAUUUAUUUCAAGCUUUGAAUUAGGUUUGUUUUUGAUUGAAUUAUUUUAUUUAAUCAUGUAAUAAACAUAUAAAACAAACAAAUAAAAAUAUGGUUAUUUAUCAUCUACAACGCUUGCAAGAAUUUGGUUAUUUUCAAUAUGAAUAUUGCUUUGCACAAUUGUACUAGUAUGAAGCCUUUUCAACGAAAAACAAGGAACAUGUACAAAUUACCUUAUAUUAUUUUAGGUUGCCAAUUUUGUCCUCCAAAUAUUUUCAAAAUUACCACACUACCCAUGUUGCCAAGUGGUUCAUCGGUUUUCGUCAAACUGAUUUCGCACUGUUUAGCGGUGCUCUAACUUUUUUAUUAAAAUUUAUUUACUAAACACAUUAGAAAUUGAGGUCUUAGAUUUUUUUUAUUUAAAUUUUUUAAAAAGCAUCUAAAAGACAUUCAUUAGCAAGACGUUUUCUCUUUUAUCAUCUCCCAUGCUCAACAUCUCACAAAGUCAUCACACCAAAUAAUGGAAAAUCACAUACACACUUUAAGAAGGGAAGAUCAAAAGCUUCAUUUGAUUUGAUAUUCACUUCUAAUCAGAUUGCCAUUACUUGUUAGGAAAUGCUAUAAAUAGUUUCAACUAAUAUCUUGUAAUUAACAAUUCAUUCAAUACUAAAUAUCAAAUCAGAAGUUGUUAUAAAAUCUCAAUCUCUCUAAUCUCUCUCUUCCUAUUUGGCUUGUAAUUGCUUCAUAAUUUUUUCAUCAUUGGGUUGAGCUUGUAGAUGGAUUGUUGAGACUCUGACAUGUUUUAAGUUUUAAAAUUAUUUUCCCGAUAAUAUGUUGAAUUAAAAAUAAAUUUACAUGUCCAAUGUAUCUUUUUGUGUUUAUUAUUGCAUCCAAAAAAGAUUUGUUUGUUAUUUGUUGCUUUGUCCAGCCUAAAAUAUGUCUUCACAUGAAUAAACUCUUUACCACUGGCAAAAAAGAAAAAUAAUAAAACAAUUGCCAACAUCAAAAGCUAGCUCAUUUGGUUAAUGUUGUUACCGACUUAUAGUAAUCCAAUACGGGAUUCAACUCAACAAACCCACUCCGAUGAUCCAAUUUAAUGUAAGAAAAUUGUUUUUUUGACAACAAAAAGUUCAAUUACAGGUACUAGGUGAUUGAAAAAUUGAGCUUUAUCCGCCGAUCCAGCUUGAAAAACAAGCAAAAGGUGUGGGGUUUUACACGGUACUAGGCGCAUGACCCACGACAGGGGGUGCAGGGUGCCUUGGGCAGCAGUGAAUUGCUUCCCAAGUCUUCCCAGGCGCAUGGAGCAGGGCAUCUGAGGCAGCUCAUGAGGUGCGUUUUCAAUCGUUCUUUCGUUUGAAAACUCCUAGGAACUUGAAAUGAAUUUCCUUCACUUUGUAUUGUCUUCAACAACCUUCUAAGAACCUUUGAUCUUCAAUUCUUCAUCCUUGAUCCGUCACAUGGUGUUUUGAUUUGAUGAUUUAUGCGAUUCCUUACUACAGAAAUCUCAAAACACAUAUGGAGUUGCAUGAUCUAAGAUAAAACUGAAUUACAAUGACUCGAGUGAAAACAAUAUCAUAUGUUCCUCAAACCAUUAACAACGCCUCUGUCUCUCAUCUUAUUUGUCUUCAAAUGCAAAGAAAAAGUACUAAAAACAUAGCCAAAAUAUCAUAUGAUGCUCUGUCAUCAUGCAUUAACGCGUGUCAGACACCGAACGCACCUUCAAUCUCAAAUGUCGACUAUGUAGUACAAGAAAGAAAACUUAGCCAUAGAGCUCACGCGAAUCUAAUUUAUGCUUCUUUCUUAAAGUUUUCUUAGUUACGUUAUUACUAAUGCAUACCUCGUUAUAAUAUCACAGUUGUAAUUAUUCAAUGGAAGUUUUGAACCCAUUAAUGUUAAAUUGAAUACCUAUAUCUCUAUGGUUGGCUGGAUGACACCCUUUGAAGAAAGAAAACCAAUGACAUCUCCCUAGUUAACUUCUUUCUCCCACUUUUCAUUUAUUAUUAUUUGAUGUCUUAUCUAUCACCAACAUCAAAGUCAUAUUUUAAACCCUUAACUACAUAUUCUUCACUCUCAUCAAAAUGAACUUCAUUUAUCGAGUCAUCACUGAUAUGAACUAUUUCUCCACCAUUAACAUCAACACCAAGACCUAUAUUAAAUAUACGAGCAACAUUUUGUUUGUCAUAUACAUGAUCUUCAUCAUUUCUUUUAAUAACAUGUAAACCUAAUUCAACAACUUCAACGUCCAAUACCACUGCGUUCAACCUAUUAUCUACAUCUUUCAUUUUCCUAACAUACGAAUUCAAGUUUCAUCAUAAUCGCAAUCCUUACAUUGCUAAAAAUAAACUAUAUUCCCCGAUAUAAAAUAACAUCUGAUCGAUAAAAAACUCAUCCUCAAUAUGAAAAACAACAUCACACCCCAUCUCUCCACAACAUAAAUAUAGCAGAAAGGCAACAAACCUCAAUUUUUGUCCCCACAAAAUCUUUAAAAAACUUGUGCAUGAUGCAAACUAUUCUAACUAUACACUAUACAUAUGUUUAGCAUCAGAGUCGAAGAUAAAAUUUGAUUUUAAUAUCCGACUAUAUGUACAUUUUGUAUCAUGUUGAAUAUCCGAGAAUCACACUGAUUUACAUAUACACCAUAGGUUACCGUGAUUCUAUUGUAUCAACUUUAAUACUAAUGAAGGAGACACAUCAAAAUCAAAAUAUUACAAAUGUUGUGGUUUUAUUUAGAUAAAAUAGAAAAUGGAGGUGACUUAAUAGCUAUAAAUUUGGUGAAAUUGAGGGUUUUGUUUUUUGUUUGACUGAAAAGCAGACAAGGUGAAGAACAACUCAGAUCUCAAUUCCUUCAAAGUUUUCAACUUUCAAUCAAUUUCUCCAAUCUCAUUCUCUCACAAUGCCUCUUCUUCCUUCUUUCCACAAGCUCAUUUUUCCAACAACCCUUCAAUCUAAGCAAUUGGUAACCGAAAUUUCUCUCCUUUCAGUUUUUGUUUCUGUUUUCAAUUAAUUGUGUUUUGAUUCGAUUUGUUUGAUCUUAUGAUGUGUUUUGAUUCAACUAAUUGAUGUGUUUUAGGGCUUUGCCACUUUUUCAUAAAGUUUGGAUUUUUGUUGGUUUUGCUGUAAACCCAUGAUUUUGAUCAUCAAGUUUGGAUUUUUUGUUAAGAUUCUCGAUAAAGGGUAGUGUUUUUAUCUUUGUUGUAAACCCAUUAUUUUUUCCUGUUUAUUUUUUAUUUCUAUGCUUAAAUUCACAGAAAAGUGUUGAAAUUUGAUUCACUGUUGCUUAGGUUUUAUGAUUUUUCAGUUGUAUUUGGGUUGCUGAGUUGAUUAUUAGCCCUAGAAUUUGACUCUUUUGAUCAUAAAAUAACUUAUGGCAUUGAAAUUGAAUUUGCUAUCAUACUGAUUUCACUCAUUGAAGUUUAUUUUUUGUUUGGAAUUGAUUGUGUUUUUGAUUGAAUUUUGAUGUUGCUGAGUUGAUUAUUAGCCCUAAAAUUGAAAUUGAAAAGGUUUUUAUGAAUAUCCACAAGUUGUAUCUGAAUUGCUGAGUUGAUUAUUUACCCUAAAAUUGAAAUUGAAAAGUGUUUAAUGAUUGAUUAAUGAUUAUCCACCAGUUGUAUCUGAAUUGCUGAGUUGAUUAUUAGCUAUAAAAUUGAACUGGGUUGGUUAGUUUAUGUCUUUAUUUUCAUAGUAUAUUCGUACAUUAGAUAUAACGGUUGUAAUUUUUCUCGGCUCUAUCUUUACGAGUUGAACAAGCUAAGCUUAUCUAGAAUUGAAUGAGAAAUUCUUACCUAAAUUUGUGUCAUUGAAAUUGAAUUUGCUAUCGUAUUGAUUUCUUGAUAGAAUUUAUGCUCUUGGGUGUUUUGCUGUAAAAUCAUUAAUAUAUGACACAGUGAACGGAUUUUUAUGCUGCCUAUGAAAUUCUACUUGGAUUUUAUUUCAUGUAUUUGCUAUGAACAACUUGAAGGCAUAGAUUAACUUAUUUAGUGUAGUUAUAGAUUCUCACACUGACUAUGUAUGAUGAAUUUUAGAUUGCAGUUGCUUGUAGCGUUCUUGAAAUUCAUUUUUUGAACGAAUCUCCAUAUUCAGCAUGGUAGUUAAUAUCACAUCACAUAUCACUAAUUGAAAUCGAACAAUUUAAAGAAGUUCUGUGAUUCAGAUCUCACACCUAGAUAAUUUUUAGUCAAAUCAGAUGGUAUUUGACUUUGAAAAUCGCAAAAAGUGUGUGCUUGUGUUAAUUUUGGGCCGAGUACAUGGCCCGAUUAAAGUCAACGGACCUGGGGUAAAUCCUCAAACUUCCUACAUCUGCAAAUGAAAAGCCUCUUCUCACUGGAAAACCUUUUAAUGUGACAGAGAACCCUUUCUGUCUGCCCUGUGAUCGGAUCCUUUCUUCCCGUGACUGGAUCAUCCUUCGCUCUAGGAACUCACCUGUGUUGUGCGCUGUUCUUAUGCUCGUUGCCUUGCGGCCAGAAAACCUUGGCCGUAAUUUUGUGCACAGUUCUGCUGCUGUUAUGCUUCAGACACACACACACACACACACACAUAUAUAUACUUUAGCUUAAUUAGUGAUUUUGGGAGUGAACAAUUGGGGCCCAUACUUAGGCCGAACCAAUUUAUUUAUUUAAUAGAGACACUUUCUUAUCCUUAUUAAUUUAAGUUUAAAUAAGCAUUUUAAGUUUGAUUUAAAUGAUCUCUUUAUGAAUUAUGUAGAAUCUUAUGUUCGUGUUACGACUCCAAGCUUAUGUUUAAUUUUUUUCCUCUUUUUGAUUCUGACUCAUUCAUAUCUCAAUUUUAAAAUUUUCAGUCUUUUACUAUGAGCAUUUACUAACAUUUGGAUGCUCAAAAUUAUUUUCAAUUGCAGAGGAUUCCGGAUAAUUUUCUGAGGAAACAUGGGGACCAACUUUCGACUGUCGCAACCCUCACUAUUCCUGGCGGCUCCGUCUGGCGUCUAGGAUUGAAAAAGGUUGACAACAGUAUUUGUUUUGUGGAUGGCUGGCAAGAUUUUGUUCAACGCUACUCAAUUGGCAUUGGAUACUUACUGGUAUUCAUAUACGAAGGAAGGUCAAAUUUCAUCAUUCAUAUCUUCCGUACUGCUGAGUUAAACUAUGAUUCAACAAUGAAAAGCCGGACUGAAGGGCCUUUCUAUGAAGCCUAUAAUUAUGUUUUUGAAGGCAUUGAAGAUAUCGACUCCUUUGAUUUCCUGGAUUCAGCACCUUCAAACCCUACUGGUGCAUUGCAAGGCAAGGAUUCUACUGGAUGUAUGGAUCAACUGAUACCAGCGGAUAAUCAUAUCCAAAAAAGACAAGAAAAUAAGGAUACCAAGAAAACUUCAAGAAAGAAGCGGGGAUCGCGGAAAUCAGAUCCGAGUAAGCUUUUUUAGCAAAGUUUUCUUUUUACUAUACUAUGUAGCAUUGGCAUUUCAGAUUGAAGGCAUGCCCGGUGUCUGACACACGUCAAUGUCCGUCUCAGACGCGACACUAACACGUGUGGUUAUAUUCAAAUAUUUCACGUUUUCAAAUUAUGGCUGGUAUCAACGUCUCAGUGUCAUGUCUGUCUGUCAGUGCUUCAUAGCUAUUGUCUAGUAAUCUAAAAAAUUAAUUGUCAUCAAUAUAAUUUGUGGAACUGCAGGUGCACAGGAAGCCUCCACUGAAAAUGACGAGGAGGCAGAGCGCAAGCGAGACACCAAGAAAACUUCAAGAAAGAAGCGGAAAUCAGAUCUGAGUAAGCUUUUUUAGCAAAGUUUCUUUUUACUAUACUAUGCAGCAUUGGCAUUUCAGAUUGAAGGCAUGCCCGGUGUCUGACACACAUGAAUGUCCAUCUCAGACGCGACACUAACACGCGUGGUUAUAUUCAAAUAUUUCACGUUUUCAAAUUAUGGCUGGUAUCAACGUCUCAGUGCCGUGUCUGUCUGUCAGUGCUUCAUAGCUGUCUAGUAAUCUAAAAAAUUAAUUGUCAUCAAUAUAAUUUGUGGAACUGCAGGUGCACAGGAAGCCUCCACUGAAAAUGUAGCCUAUGAAAGUGCGUCUGCAAGAGUAAGACACAAUGUGUCAGAUGAAGAAAGAGAAAGGGCAAUGAAUGAGGCUAAUGCAUUUGAACCAACUAAUCCUUACUGUCGUGUUAGUCUGCGACCCUCCUAUUUAUAUAGGGGAUGCAUAAUGGUGAGAUAUUGAAUUCAAUUUUUUGAUAUUUUUCUUUGGUCUUCUUUGACAUGUUGUGUUGCAUACUAAGCUCGUGUUUCUGUUUACCAGUAUUUGCCUACCAAAUUUCGAGCAAAUUUGAAGGGUGUUUCAGGUUUUAUACCGCUUCAGACAUCUGAUGGUGAGAAACAGUGGCGUGUUCGCUGCCUUGAUAAUGAAGGCCGGAUAAAGUUAAGCCAAGGAUGGUACGAAUUUACACAAGAGAACGGUUUAGGGGAAGGGGAUAUCUGUGUCUUUGAACUGCUUAAUACCAGAUAUGUAGUGUUGCAAGUUACUUUGUUUCGUUUAAAAGAGGAUGAACCCUCACUUGCAGCACCGCGUUAGCUCAACCUAAAAAUUAGCUGGGAGAGUUAACUCCUGAUAGACAAUUACAAAACUGUGUUGAUUAGCUCUUACUUCUGAGUGAUCCUGGUAUUCUCUAGUUUAUUCAGUUUGGAACUUUGAUACUUUCUGUCCAUAGGCCUUUUAACUUAGUUAUGGUAGUUGUGAAUCUUUUGAUAUGGAUAUUUUGUUUUGGCUUGGAUCCUCUGAAGCAUGAGUACUCGUAAAAAUGUGAAGUACCCGUACCGGGUACUUACCCAUACUGGGUACGCGUACGGUACUUGUGGUACUCCAUUUUUGCUAAUUAUUCUAUGGUGAGUGAAAAUUGUAGCUUUCUCUUAUAUAUGCAUAUGAUAAUGUAGUAUUAUAUGUGCAUGAGUUUUUUUGUUGUUAUAACCAACUUUAAUUUUCGACUUUUUAAACUUUUAUCGUGAUGUUUUUGAUGUAAAUAGAAGAAUUUAGCCCUCUCAUGUUAUAUUAUAUAACAUCGUGAUUGAUUUUACUGACGUACCCGUACCUUAAUUUUUAAAAAAUUGCCGUAAUCUUGUACCGGUACCCAUACCUAUGCAACAUAGCUUGGAUUGUAAAUAGACUGUGCUAUCUACUCAAUCAUAAACUGAGUUGAAACGCUUGUCCUAGUGCCGUAUCUUGGGAUUAACUCUUUUUUUUUUUUUUUUUUUGGUUUUGAAGUUUUUAGCUUCAUCUGCAUGAAUAUAGUGAUUCAGUUAUUGCGUGUUGUUUAUGUGACUGCUGUUGAUGAGUUUUUAUACCUUCUCCUUUGACUUUUAUCUAUUUAUGAUGUUGUUUGGAUUUAUGGUAUGAUAUGGAUACAAAGCAACAUUGAUGAUAGCUUUUAUUCAUUGUUUUUCAUAUAUCAUAUCUAUAAUACCAUUCUUAAAAAAAGGUCCAGUUUAUGUGAUAUUGUAGUCACAGACAAGAAACUUUUCAUUUUGGGAUCCAAGUGCAGGAUUUAAAAAAAUAAUGUGCAUCUGGAUUUCAUUGGACUUCUUUGUAUGAUUGAUGUUACAAAUAUGAAAAAGGGACCUCUUUUAGGCAGUGAUUUUAUUUUUGAUAGAUUGGGCUCGGUUUUUCAGUGCUCAUUUAUAGAAUACCUUUCAUGUUUUUUGGACAUGUGUAUCUAAAUUGUAUAAAUUAUUCGAAAGUAUGCACCUGGAUUGUACAGAUUUAUAGUUUUUCUCGGACUCAUAUUCGGACUGAUGUUGGGUUAUGAAUGCGUCUUAAGUUUUUUGAAUGUGCAUGUGAAGUUUGUUAUCUUCAUGAAGGUUGUCUAUUAUAAGCUGUGAAAUUUGUGUGCAAGAGUUUUAUUUUCGAGCAGUUGUACUUUAUUCUAGUGUUAGUAAAUUGUUGUGAAUUUCAUAUAUAUAUGAUUAAGUUGAAUAUGUAUUGGAUGAAUUGGCGGGUACUAGAUAGAUGAAAAUCAAAUAAAAUAUAGACAAGUUGCUCUUUUGUCUGAAUUACAUAUGUUAUACUGUUAUGUUGUCUGAAUAUUCUGGCAGUUAGAUAUAUAUGAAAUGAAGAAUGGUUUAAUGUGGAAAAUGUAAACACGUUAAAUUGUAUUAGGUUCAUUAAUUGAAUAAAAAAUGUAAGUAGUUAUGGGCAAAUGACUCAAGUUGCAUAUAUAUAGAAAAUGAAUGUCAAUAUCUUGUGCAAGUUUUUUUUUUUUCGACAAAAGUUUCUUGUGCAUGAUGGUUGUCUGAUCAUUGUGGUUUAAUUUUUUUAGUUUCACUACCUAAUUAGGCUGUAGUAGCUAACCAAAAGAUACUUCUUGUUAUUUAUAUUUAUCUUGUUAAGACACACGAAAUAUUUUCACCGGAAUAUUGUUAAGACUCUAAAGAGUCUUAACAAGAAGAUUUUUUACGAAAUAACAACAAAAUAUUUUCACCGGAAUAUUGUUUGCCAACUCAGAUUGAUUUUUUCAUGCAAAUUAGGAAUAUGAGACACUAUGUUUAACUGGAUGCAACGUCGACCAGUUUUUACACACUAUUCUUGAUGAAAUUAAUUAAUAUAGUUAUCAUAUUUGUACUGUAGUGUUCAUAAAUUUUCUGUGUUACUAAAUGGUUAUUGACUUCUAUUGCUUUAAACUGCAUUUGAUUAGUAUUUUGUCAUUAUGUUAUCUUCUAUGUUUUUGUGAAUCAGCCAAAAUUACUGGUUAAUUUUUAAUCAGCUUGCCACUAUCUGUUUCACAUGAAAUAACUACCUGCUUAUUUGGCUUGUAACUACUUGGUAUUAUUUUCAUUUUUGGCUUGAGCUCAUAAAUGCUUGAAUUUCUGACUUGUUUUUUCGAAAUACUUUUCCCUAAUAAAAUCUUGCAUUAAAAUUUCUUUACCUGUUCUAUUUAUCUUUGUUUUUUAUUGCAUCCAAAAAAGACCAGAUUGCAUUUUUCUGUUUUGUCACAAGUUGCAGUUGAUGGGAGUAAAGUCAUGCUCAAAAUAUCUUUACAUAAAUUAAAAAUUACAUCCUUAGUCAUGUGGAUGUACCCUCACAGACAAAGUAGAAAACCAAAAUAAUUGCCAAUGGCUUAUCCUUAUGCUUCAUAUUGUCUACUUUAUCUUGCAGAUCCUCUGGGUUGGUGGCACUUUAAGAGUUAGGACUCCUCGGGUGUUUAUUGGUGGCAGUGUAAUUGAUCAUAAGCCUUUAAGAGUUCAGACUCCUCGGGUGUUCAUUGGUGGCGGUGUAAUUGAUCACAAGCCUUUACAAACCAUAGGUGAAUCUGAUGGAACAGCCUCAAAUCACAAUUAGAGGAACAACUAGAAGCCGCUCGCAGAGCAGGUGAUGCGAAGAAACUACUCUUUGGUUAGUAAUAAUUUUUUGUAUAGUUUGUAUUCGUUCAUUUGACCUGGAUUGUUGGAUAUCCAUGCACUUUUGGAAUUUAAGAUUUCAAUUUUCAAUCUUAGGAUUUGGACUGAAUGUUAUAGCCCAUGCACUGAAUGUUGUUCCCACUUAUAAUUAUUCAAUGUGGGAUUCAACAUUCCCAGUCAUGCCUAGAAUUAGAUUUCUGUAUAUUCGGUUUGCAAGACUGACAUCUGUAUGUAGCGCAACAACUCUUGGAUAGGCUCCUCCACCAUCUUUGAAGUGGGCUUACAGUCUAACUCACCCCACUAAAUCAGCUUGUUAGACAAUGACUGGUUUAUAAGGACUACCUAGGUCAUGUCCCUUGUUGAUGCGAGUCUCUUAAGUGUGGACUGAUGCAGGUGGAAUAACAAGGAUAUAAACAUCUCCUCACUCCCAGGACUAGACAUAUGGAGCGUAGACAAAUGCAAGUAGAAUAACAAAGAUCUUGGUACAUAAACAGAUCUUAGAUAGGCUUAAAUAACAUUUUAGGUUUUGGGUCAAGAUUUGGUGUCAAUCUAUUUUUUUGGUUUCUCAUUUCAUCCCAUUGAUCAAUACUCCUCUGCUUAUACUCCUUUUACCCCCCUAGUGACCCAUCUCUUAUAAGGGUUAAUGUAAGGGUUGAUUGUUAUGGUGGGAUGUGAGUUAUUGGACGGUGAUUAAUGUUCAGGAGUGCUCUACCUGUUUGCCGACAAUUCCGUAAACUCGUCAAGACUUCUGCCUGAGUGAGACUUAGAAAUGUGGAGGAGACCCACACUUGAGGGGGGAAUUGUUGUAUAAAUAAGUGUGAAUUAGUUGUUGAAGUUCCGCAUUGUUUGAAAAUGUUUUAAAUGAAGACAGUAUAAUUGUGGAGACCCUUGUAAUCAAUGCCUUACAGUUUUGGAUCAAGAUGUGGUGUCAGCCCAUUUUUGUGCUCUCUCACUUCAGUCCAUUAAUUAGAGUUCAUCUUGCUCUUUCAGCCACCCAUCUCUUGCAAAGGAUUUUUUGAGCAUAAAUUAACCCCAUUAGUUAGCUCUUGGGGUUGGGUUGCACUCACUAAUAACCACUGUUGAAGCCAUAUCAUUGUUUAACGUGUGACUCUCAACAUUCUAUUUCUUGAUCUUUCUUCUAAGACGAAUGCUUACAUCCCGUUUAUCUUUGACCCAUUUGCCAAGACACCGUUUUCUUAGUGGGUAAAACCAAGGUUUCUCCUGCGAACUGUUGGAACUAAUCUCUCGAGGUGAUUGAGGCCCAUUUUAAGUGGUUGACCUCUCCUAACAUAUGUUUUUCCACACGCACUGACCAAAUAUCAAACCCCUAACAAAUGGUUAUGAGAAUCAAGCUUCUCCAUUGUGCCACACCAUGUUGGGUAAACGCAUCAAGGUUUUGGCAAUUAUGCAAUCUAGUUAUUAGUGAUAAAUUGAAUAAGACCCUAUUAUCCUAUAAACUUCAAUGCUUGAUGUGCAAAUUUAAUAGUACCGAACUUUUUUUGUAGUACAGAACUCACUAGAGGCUGAGAAAGACCGAGAAAAACCAAGAGAAACUAUUAAGAAAGAUCUUGAGACUAAUGUGUUGAUUAUUAUCUAUUUUAUUAGCGUUGAUAUAGUUUCCUCAUUUAUCUAUUUUUCCUUUAUCAAGAUAUUCUCUUUUGCAUAUAAACUUGAAAGAAAGUUAAACAAGAUCUUCAUCAUCAAACUCAUUCUUCUUCUAGUGCGGUUGUUCUUAAUUCAUCCUUUAUCUCACUAUUCACUAUCCAUAUUCGUUCAUCUUCAUCAUGCAUUUGGUAUUCUUCCUAAAAAACCAUACUUGAAUAAAAAGGAUCUCAUUUUCCAACAACAGAAUCAAUCAGUUUCCUUCAAAACCCAAACAGCCCAAGUUGAGUGUUUUUGUUUGACUCAAGCUGCUGAAAAGGGCUGGAGUUGUAGAAAGUGAAGAACAGUCCAACAGCUUAGAUCUGAUUGAUUCUUCCAAAGUUUUCAACUUUCAAUCUCUCCAUUCUCUCAAAAUGCCUCGCCUUUCUUUUCAUUAGCUCAUUCUCCAAACAACCCUUCUAUUUAGACAAUUGGUAGCUCAUUUUCUCUCUCCUUUCAUUUUUUUUUUCUUUCUCUCACUCAUUUAAGUUUGCUUUUUUUGGUUGUGUUUGAUGUUUUUGAUUGGAUUUUGUUGAUGUUUUGGUGGUUGCAUGAACAGGGUUUUGCUAAUUUUAUUAUAUUUUUUCACUCUCACUUAUAAAACCUGACACCCCUUUUCAUAAAGUUUGGAUUUUUUGUAUGAUUUUGAUCACAGUUUGGAUUUUCCGUUAAGAUUCUUGAUAAAGGGUAGUUUAUUUUUUAUUUUUUUUAAGUUUACUUGAUGAAGGUUAUACCUGAAUUCCUAGAAAAUGUUGAAAUUUGAUUCAGUGUUGUUUAGGUUUUGUGUUUCUUCGAAAGUUGUAUCUGGGUUGCUGAGUUGAUUAUUAGCGCUAGAGUUGAAUUGGGUUGGUUUGUUUAUGUUUAUUUUUCUAGUUGAGGCAUAACAUAACUUGCUCUAUAUUAGACUCUGGAGCAUAACAAAACUUGUGGCAUAUUGAAUUUGCUACCAUAUUGAUUUCUUGAUAGAAUUUAUGCUCGAGUGUUUUGGUCUCUGUCAAUUGAAGAACUAAUUGGUAUUUUACAUUAGAAUUGAUAUUUUUGAGAACUAGCAAUGUCUCUUGUCACUUGUUUUAAGUGAAGGAAAAGGCACAGUGAACCGGUUUUUAUGCUUCCUUUCUGUCCAAAUUUGUUUUGAUACUUUGCCUACGAAUUGAUAUUUCUUAUAUUUGCUAAGAAGACGUGAAGGCGUUUAAUAAAUUAUUUUAUUUGAACCAAAGCUAUUAAUCAGCCAUAAUUGAACAAUUUACAUAUUCUUUAGAUUGAAAUUGAUGGUAGCAAUCCGGAAAUUAGUCAUUUUUUAACAAAUCUCGAUUUCCAGCAUGGUAGUUAAUAUCACAUCACAUAUCAGUCAUAAUUGAACAAUUUAAAGAUGAUUUUUUUCUGAGCUCUGUAAUUCAGAUAUCACACCUAAUCACUUUUUUGGUCAAAUCAGAUGGUUUUUGCCUUUGAAAAUCACAAAAAGUGUGUGCUCGUGUGUUAAUUUCGGACCGAGUACAAGGUCCGAUUAAAGAUAACGCACCUGGGGUUAAAAAGGAGCCGCAACUCCUCGAACCUCCUAGAUCUGCAAAUGAAAACCUCUUCUGAACUGGUGUCCAAGAUCCCUUUUUGCCUUGUGGCCGGAUCCUUCUGCCUUGCACCAGGAUCCUGCCUGUGUUGUGCGCUGUUCUCUGCUCGUUGGCUUGCGACCAGAAGUUCAGAACCCUAAUGUUGUGCGCAGUUGUGCUGCUGUUAUUCUUCACUUUGUUUCAAUAGAAUAUCUAUUUGUCUGAAGCACCCUAUUUAGACGCGCCUGGUUUAUUCGUUUUUUAUUAUUCACUAGCUUAAUUUGUGAUUUAGUGUGUUUUUGCAUUUCUUUACUCGUUGGGAGUGCACCAUUGGUCCCCACACUUAGGUCAAACCAUUUUUUUUUGUCGAGGGAAAGGUCGAACCAAUUUAUUUAUUUAACAGUAGUAAUUAAGUAAAAAAAGGAUGUAAUAGAAUUACUUUCUGAUGGUUAUGAUUUUAAGUAUAAAUAAGCAUUUUAAGUGUGAUUUAUAUGCUCUCUUUAUGAAUUAUGUUGAAUCUUGCAUUCCUGUUACGAUUCCAUGCUUGUGAUUUUAUUUCUCCAUUCAAUUCUGACUCAAAUCUCAAUUUUAAAAUCUCCAGUCUUUUACUAGCAUUUACUGAUAUUUUGAUGCUCAAUAUUAUUUUCAAUUGCAGAGGAUUCCAGAUGAUUUUCUGAGGAAAUAUGGGGCCCAGCUUUCGACCAUCACAACCCUCACUGUUCCUGAUGGCACCGUCUGGCAUCUAAGAUUGAAAAAGGUCGACAACCAAAUUUGUUUUGUUGAUGGCUGGCAAGAUUUUGUUCAACGUUACUCCAUUGGCAUUGGAUAAUUUCUAGUAUUCACAUGUGAAGGGAAUUUAAAUUUCAUUGUUCAUAUGUUUAAUAUAAGUACUGCUGAGUUAAACUAUCAAUCAGCCAUGAGAAGCCAUACCGAAGGACCUUGCCAUUGAAGAUAUCCACUCCUUUAAUUCCUGGAUUCGUCACCUUCAAUUUUUAUUUUUAUUUUGAAAGGUGUCACCUUCAAACCUUACUCCUGGUGCAUUGCAAGAAUAGGUUUUUACUGGACCUAUGGAUCAACUGACACCAGUGAAGAAUCACAUCCAACUCAGACGCGAAAACAAUGAUACCAAGAAAACUUCAAGAAAGAAGCGAAAGUCAUCUCGAGUAAGCUCUUUUAGCUAAGUUUACUUUCUAUAGUACUAUGUCGCACCAACAUAUCAGAUUGAUAGCCUGCCCAGUGGCUGACACACAUCAAUGUCCAAUAUUGGAGAUAUAGAUUAGUGGCAUAUUAGUUCUAGUAAAUAGUAGUAUAAAUAGCUAGUAACCACCCCAUUAGUGGGUAACUAUCUCAUUUGUAAUAAUAUCCUUCUCAUCAAUACAAUAGUUUCAUAGCUUUUCUCUCAUUCCUUUCAUGGAUGACAUGUCUCAUAACAUCCAACUCAAACGCUACACUGACACAUGUGUUUAUGUUCAAAUAUUUCAGAUUUUCAAAUUAUGAACGGUAUCGACAUCUCAGUGUCGUGUCAGUGCUUCAUAGCUGUUAUCUAGUAAUCUAAAAAUUAGUUUUGUCAUCAAUAUAAUUUGUGGAAAAGUGACAGAUGAAGAACGAGAAAGGGUAAUGAACGAGGCAAGCACAUUUGAACCAACAAAUCCUUUAUGUCUAAUUGUCCUUCGACCCUCCUAUAUUUUGACAUUUUUCCUUAGUCUUCUUCGACAUGUUGUGUUGUGUACUUGGCUCGUGUUUCUGUUUUCCAGUAUUUGCCUUCUAGCUUAGCAGAAACAAAUUUGAACGGCAUUUCCAUUCUACUUGAUUUGAUGAUAAGUUUAUUGGGUGGAUGGAUGGAUCCAUGAAUAUAAAUGACUAGACUGUAGAGUGCAUGAUUGGAAACUUGAAGAGAGUAGACUGUAUAGUUAUAGACAUUGAUGUGAUAAUAAGUAAUCAUUAUUGAGAUUGAUAUGACAGUAAGUAUAUUGAGGGAUUGAUAUGUCAGUAUUAAUGGAACAGAUUAGCAUGAUGGAUUAUUUUGAUUAAUGGAAUGCACAAUCAAUAACUAUUUUGAAAUUUUGAUAUAAUCAAAGAUUAUUGUAACUAAUCUUUAGACAUUCAAGGACCAAAAUGGUUAUUAUCUUUUUUGUAACUCUUAAGUAAGGUACUCGUAUUUGCUGGGGUGAGUGGUAUGCACUUCAGACAUAUUUUUUAAGAUUCCACGAAACUUGUAAAAUUGUUUGAGAUAUAGGAAAAAUGUGUCAAACCAAAAAAAAUGUGACUCAUGGUGUUUUCUUUGUGGUGUGCUUUAUAUACUUCCAUUGGCAUGUGAAAUCUUUUCCAAUGGUGAUAUUAGAUGUAUACAAAGAUCAUAUCUAAGUUUGAGAUUUCAUUAUUUAAUUGUAAAAUAAAUAUUGCAAUUUGACAAAAUACGAUUUGAGACCUCUUUGGUGCAACAAGGUCUUGAUCUAGUCUUUAGAGAAGAUGUGGGUACCAUGAAAACAAGUGAUUGGACUUAGAUCUAAAGAAAGGUUUAGGAGCACUCUAUUGGAUUAAUUCUUGCUUCCAAGAUUAAGCACAAUAACAAUAAGAUUAUGUUUGGAUGGAGUGUUUUUUGAAGUGUUAUAUGAUCAUUUAUUAUAUUAUUUCAGUUUAAGUUUGUGUACUAUGUGGUUUCGUAUUCUAGUCAUCCUUUUGUUUGACAUGAGACUGUAUGGACUUGAAAGAGUCGUUAAUUUUUGAUGUCGUUGUUGCAGGGAGUUGAUGGUACGCGAUUCGAUUUCAUGCUAACGACCGAGUCAUUCGCCAGAUAUAGACCCGUUUGGUACUCACAAACGUCGAUCGUUAAUGGUGUUCGUUUGUUAGAUUGAUUAGGGUUGUAUUUACUGUGUUGUUGUUGAUUCACAUGGAUUGACUGAGUUAGAUUUUAUGUCCUACAAUUUUUACAUAAUUUUCCCUUUUUUAAAUAAUAUAUACGAGCAAUUGACAAAAGAUUAGAGUUGGUACCAACUUAGUUGGACGCUUUUUGAUGUCAUUAAUUUUGCUUUUUUAAUUCAUCAACAAAAGAAUUUUUUUUUUUUUUGAGAGAAAAAAAAAAAAAAAUUUAUUAUAUUAUUCAUUCAGUUUUUUGGAAUCUCAAAUAUAUGUCAAAAUAUAAACUUUAGCAUUAUAAAUUUCUUCCUACAAAAUUCUCCAUUCAAACAUACUUUAAGAGAUAAAGUAUACAUGUUCCCAUUGUUUAUGUUUACCGUGUGAGAUUUUUCUCAAUUUCAUCUUUUUCUUUUGAUAAUGUGUUACUGUUUCUUUAACCUUUUUUUUUGGACCAAAACUGUUUCUUGAACCUUCAUAAUAUGUGGAAGGGAAAAUAUCAUGAUGCAAUGUAACCAAUUAAAUGUAAUUAUAUUGCAUUGUUCAAGUUUUAUAAUAUGCUAAAGAGAUGUUUUCAUGUGAUCUUUAUUGCAUUUGCUGAAAGAAUAUGUUAUGGUACUUUCAUGUGAGUAGUUACAAAGUUCAAGUAUUUAAUAUGUAAAGUUUUCUCCAUUUUUGUUAGAUGAAGCUCCAACAGCCUUGGUUAGAUUCAUUGGGCAGAAACAGUAUAAACGUUGUGUCAGUGGUAUGUAUAUAUUACUUUAGUCAGGCUUAAUUUCUUUCUCAUUUAUUUAAAAGUUAAAUACAUUUUGAUCCCCAUAAAAUUGCGACCGUUCAUGUUUAUAGUUUAUAUAAUCUGUUCAUUCAUUUUAGUUUCUAUAUCUAACAAAACUACAUGUUUUUAAUCCUUUUGUAAGGACUAAAAACACAGUUUUUUUGUUUGUUUUGUUUUACAUAGAUUGAAGAAAUACAUGUAGUCAUAGUGAAUAAUUUUCAAUCAUUGUUGAUUUUCUCUCACCUUCGAUUAAUUUGUUACUUAUUUAAUUAUGGGAGUAAGUCAUUAGAUUUUUUUUUUUUUUUUUAACUAAUUAGAAUAUUUUUUUUGAAGGAGUCAUUGAUUAGAAUAUGUUGAUUAUAUCAAGACGUUUUGCAGAACAAAAAAACAUUCUCCCCAUUAUGGUAGCCAUAUUUCAACCUUAAUUUGUUGCUUAAUCCAAAUAUAUCACCAAAGAUGUUUUGGAGCCAAACGAGACAACAAAGUUGGGUUAGGCACACCAAGAACAAAAUAUGGUUCACUGUCAAAAUAGUAAAUGCCAAAAUAAGUUGAAUAAACAAAAAAUUAACUUGAAACUAAUCAACUUUCUCCCAUUAAAAAUUGGGAUAAGACUAAAAAUCUAGUGUUGUGUACUUAGCCCGUGUUUCCGUUUUUCAAUAUUUUCCUUCAAGCUUUGUAGAAAAUAAUUUUAACGGUGUUUUAAGAUUCAUUAAGCUUCAGAUCUUCGAGGGAAGACAAUGGCCUAUUCUCGCUGCCUUUAUAAAGGAGGUUGGGUAAAGUUAGGGCAAGGAUGGAAUGAAUUUACACUAGAGAACAAUUUAGAAGAAGGUGAUAUAUGUGUUUUUAAACUACUUAAAACUAGAGAGGAAUUUUUGCAAGUUACUUUGUUUCGUGUAAAAGAGGAUGAAUCUAUUAGAAGGUUAAUUCACUUAGUUAGAAAGUUAGUUUGAAGUUAUUAGUUAGUUAACUUGUGAAUUAUGUAAGAACUUAACUAGCUUACUUGUGGGUUAAGUAACCAUUCUUUGUUGUGGAGUUUGUUACAUCCCUUGAUGUAUAUAUACUAUAGUAUCACUUGUAAAUAUUAUGAGAUUCAUUACUAUCAAAUAAAGUCUUUUUUCAAUUGACCAAUUCUCUCUAUUUCUUCUCAAACCCUAAAAACCACAAACAAGUUUUGCACUCUUCUUUUAAGUUGUCCUUGAGCAUCUAGGAAGUCUCUUGGAGUUGUUCUUGAGCAUAAAUAUUUAGGUAGUGUCUUAGAGAAGGAAGUCUUAAGUAGGUGUGCUUAAGCAUUGAAGUCUCUUGCAGUUGUGCUUGAGCAUUGAGAAGUCUCUUGAAAGUGUGCUUGAGCAUUUUGUAAUCCAUAGUGAUUAUAGUGAAAUCCCUUGGAAGUGCAAGAGGAUUGGAGUACUCCUGAAUUGUGGGAGGAACUAGUAUAAAAUUGUUUUGUCUCUGUUUUCUCUUUUUUGUCUCUUUAUCUUUGUGUUCAGACUAUGUAUUAGAAUCUUAUACCUCAAAUUCUAAUCAAGUCUUAACACUAAGAAAAAGAAACCACAAAAAGCCAACACAAUUCAACCCCACUUUUUGUGUUUUUCUCACCUUCAUAAGACACCAAAAGAAGCAUGGUCGGGAGUUAAGCCAAUGCAUGGUUCAACAUCUUAGGGUGUUUGGCUCAUUGUGUUUAAGACACAUUCCUGAUCAAAUGAGAAGAAAAUUAGAUGAUAAGUCUCAAUCUAUGAUUUUUGUUGGAUAUCACUUAACUGGUGCUUACAAGAUCUAUGAUCCAAAGAAUAAGAAGGCAAUGUUCAACAAAGAUGUUAAGUUUGAUGAAUCGAGAAGCUGACACUGUAAAGGCAAGACAUCAUGUAAAACUGACAAUCAGUUAUGUUUGUCAGAAUCUGAAUCAGAUUAGCAUGAACUUGAAGAACAAGUAGAGAAUAUUGAAGUUACAGAGGAAGGAGGUGUAAACAAGCCAGCAAGGAACAUUCAACAACCUCAAAGGUUGAAUGACUAUGUGAGAUUCCCUGAUACAUCUAUAGGUGAUGAUGGUGAUGGAACUCAGUUAACAAUGUUUGUUAAAACUAAGCCAGUUACAAUCGAGCAAGUAUUUAAGCAAAAACACUAGAAAGAAGCAAUGCUUGAUGAACUGAAAUCAAUAGAGAAUAAUGAACUUGGAGGUUAUUUCAUUUACCUCAUAAUAAGAAGUGUAUUAAUGUCAAGUGGUUCUUUAAGACUAAGUUAAAGCUAGAUGGUCAGAUAGAAAAGUAUAAGGCUUGGGGUGUUCGUGGUGUGGUUCGGCUCGGUUAUGAGGCAAAAAGUGAACCGAUACAAAAAAUAAAAAAUGUGCGGUUCGGUUGGUGCUAAAAAAAAUCCGAUCCAAUUUAACGCGGUUUAAAUAGGGGUAGCACUUAGGUGACAUAGAGAAUUGGUGACAUUGACCAACCACAAUGUCACAAGUGACUUUUUUUUUUCCCUCUCUUUUACAAGGAUUAUGACAUUGUGAUUAGCCAAUGCCACCAAUGUCACCAAAUUCUAUGUCAUCCAAGUGUUAUCCAUGAUAUAGGAUGGAAUGGAUAGCAUCCCGUUCCAUUCCAUUCCUUUUUUAGAAAACCAAACAAUAAAACUACGUUCUAUCCCACUCCAUUUUAUUCCAUUACCUCUUUUAAAAAACUAAAAUGAGAAAUUAAAAUACAUAAUAUCUCUCAUAUGUUCCUCUUUUUCAGUAUUCGAAAAUAGGAAAUAGCGUGAAGACCCAUUUUAAUUCUCAUAAUUUUUUUAUGGUACAAUUUAGCAUUGGAAAAAUAAAAUUGAAAUUAGUGACUCACAUUUUCAUAUUUGGGACAAAUUAGUCCCAUAUUCAUUAUAGUAUAAUUUGUCUCAAGUAUUAAAAUGUUAUGGACUAAUUUGAAUUUUAUUUUUGUUAGAACUAAAUUUAGCUUUUAGAAAAAUUAUGAGGGAUUAAAAUGGAUAUUCACUCUAAAAAACAUAGUAAAUGUCAUUUCUCAAAACAAUUUUCCAAUUCUAUUUUAACAUCUUUUUGUCCUUCAAAUUUUCAAAACUCAAAACUAAUUUCGAAAACAAAAAUUAAAUAUGCCUUUAGCAAAGAAGACUUGAGUUUUACAUAUGAAAAUAUAUGAAUGAUUUUACAAAAUUAUUCAAAUAAUCAAUACUUUGUUGUAUAAGUGAAGUAAGUGUUAGUGUGUUACACUAUGUUAACAUUUGAUCUACCAUUAAAUCCCUAAGCUCUGCCAUUAGACUAAGUAUGAUAUAACAUUUCUUAUUGAUAUAAUGGUAAAAACACUUUUGCGAAUAUGCAAACCUAUUUUGUCACGAGAUGAGUGUUAAGAACACUCUAUUUUUAAUACUCACUUUAUUGUUGAGUAAAAUUUAUAUAAGUUUUUACCACUUUACAUAUGACCAUUUUUUAAAGUGUGAGACUCAUAUUGAUUUCAUCGUGUAAAAAAGUAAAUGUUAAAUAGAAUGUAAAAAAAAAAAGAAUUUUCUAUCGUUUCUCAUAAUUUAUUUAGGCAUUAUAGACAUAGACAAAAAUCAAAAUCAAGCAUUAGCAAAAGACGAGGUAUAUUAAAAUAAGGAAUUUAAUUAACACAUUUAGAUUUAGUGUACAAUAUAUCAGAUAUACGUCGAUUAAUGAAUAUAAAAAUUUGAGUUGUUAUAUUUAUUAAUUAACAUGAUAAACAUGUUUCUUAAAAAAAAAAAAACAAUAAUAUAUCAUUUGAUACAUGUGUAAAAUAAUUAGAUAUCAGCGAAUUAUAUUAACCGAGCUUUAAAUAAAAUAAAAUAUGGUUUUGUACAAAAAUAUAAAAAAAUAUAAAACAUGGUGGACCCCUAAAAAAGUAUGGUGGACCCCUCAAAAUAAAAAUAUGGUGGACUCGAGGUGACUCAACCGAGUGUGAUAGACUCAUGAACUUAAAAUUAGGUCAAGUUGAGAUUGUUUUUUUUUUUUUUUGUUUGUUUAAUUUAAGGUUUAAGUUUUUUUGUUUGACUAAAAAGCUGAAUAGGGUUUGAGGAGAAGGUGAAGAAGAACCCAACACCUUAGAUCUGAGUAAUUCUUCCAAAGUUUUCAACUUUCAAUCAAAGCCUUCGAAGAUUAUGCUUUGAAUCUCUUCAAUUUCUCUCACAAUGCCUCCUCGUCCUUCUUUUCACAAGCUCAUUCUCCCUUCAUCCCUUCAAACUAGACAAUUGGUAACGUUUUUCUCUUUUUACUCAUUGCUUUUUUUUGAAUUGGGUUUUUGUUUCAUGUUUUUUAUUGGAUUUUAUUGAUGUUAUGAUUGUUGCAAAAAAAGGGUUUUUAGGGUUUUGAUUAAUUUUUUAGGGUUUGUGGCAGUCUAAUUGAUAAACCCUGAUAUCUCUUUUGAUAAAGUUUUUUAUUUUUUUUAGGUUUUGUUUUAAACCCAUGAUUUUGAUCACUAAGUUUGGAUUUUCUGUUAUGAUUAUUGAUAAAGGGUAGUGUUUUUUGUUUGAUCAGUCGUUGAAAAGUGUUCAAAUUUGUUUGAUUCAGUGUUAUUUAGGUUUUGUGAUUUUUCUGGAAAGUGUUGAAAUUUUGAUCACCUAUGUUACUGAGUUGAUUGUAGUCCUAAAAUUGAAUUGGGUUGGUUGGGUUGUUUAUGUCUUGUGGCAUUCUUUGAAUGAGAAAUUCUUGUGGCAUUAAAAUCAAAUUUGCUAUCAUAUCGAUUAUUUGAUAAAAUUUAUGGUCCUGGAUGUUUUCCUUAAAAUCAUUAAUAUAUGUGGUUCAGUAUAUUAGAAUUGGUCUCUUAUUUUCUUUUAUUGAGAACUAGAAAUGUCACUUGUUUUAAGUGAAAGAGAAGAACUAUAUGACACAGUGAACAGAUUUUUAUGCUUCAUGUUUCUCCAAAGCACGGAUACCCCUCGGAUUAGGUGUGUCUCGGUGUCCGACACGUCACAUACAAUUACACUGAAUUAUGUGAUUUUCUCAAAUUAUUAGCUGUGUCGGCGUGUCCGUAUCCGUGCUUCAUAAUUUAAUAAUGUUUCUAUGCAGUUUUACUUCUAUUUUCUUUUAUGUAUUUGCUAGCCACAAAAUAUGUGAACAAAAUCUACUUGAGACUAUCAUAUUGGAAAUUUAUCUAUGUAGAAAAUUCUUUAGUGUAGUUACAAAUUCUUGCACUUAUUAAGUAUGAACUUUGGAUUGUUAUUGCUGGUAGCAAUUUGGAAAUGUGUCAUUUUUUAAUGAAUCUCCAUUUUCAGCAUGGUAGUUAAUAUCACAUAUUGACUUAUUGAAAUCAUACAAUUUUAAGAUGUUUUGUGAUCUCUGCAAUUUAGAUCCCACGCCUAAUUGCAGAUGGUUUUUGCCUGCAAAAAUCGCAAAAAGUGUGUGGCCGUGUGUUAAUUUCAGGCCGAGUACAUGACCCGGUUAAAAACAACACACCUUUAAAUGAAAAACCUCUUCUAUUAAGUAUGAAAAGUUGGAUUGCUAUUGCUGGUAGCCAUUUGAAAAUGAGUAGUUUUUUAAUGAAUCUCCAUUUUUAGCAUGGUAGUUAAUAUCAUAUAUUGAAUCAUUCAAAUCAUACAAUUUUAUUAGCAUGGUAGUCAAUAUCAUAUAUUGAACCAUUGAAAUCAUACAAUUUUAAGAUGUUUUGCGAUCUCUGAGAUCUCACACGUGUGACCAAGAACUCUCAAACUUCCUUGGUCUUUGCUCGUUGGGAGUGCACCAUUGGGGCCCAUAAUAUUCUUGUUAUGAUUCAUUGUUUAUGAUUUCAUUUUGUCUUUUUGAUUCAUAUCAAAUCUUGAGUUUAAAAUCUUCAGUCUUUUAUUAUGAGCAUCACUAAUAUUUGGAUGAUCAAUAUUAUUUUCAACUGCAGAGGAUUCCAGAUAAUUUUCUUAGGAAAUAUGGGGCCCAGCUUUCGACUAUUGCAACCCUCACUGUUCCUGAUGGCACUGUCUGGCGUCUAGGAUUGAAAAAGGUUGACAACCGAAUUUGGUUUGUCGAUGGCUGGCAAGAUUUUGUUCAACGUUACGCCAUUGGCAUUGGAUACUUUCUAGUAUUCACUUAUGAAGGAAAUUCAAAUUUCAUUGUUCAUAUCUUUAAUAUGAGUACUGCUGAGUUAAACUAUCAAUCAGCCAUGAGAAGCCGUACUGAAGGGCCUUGCUAUGCAAAUUAUCAUCCUAUUUUUGAAGACAUUGAAGAUAUCGACUCCUUUGAAUUCCUGGAUUCAUCACCUUCAAACCUUACUCCUGGUGCAUUGCAAGACAAGGUUUUUAGUGGAUCUUUGGAUCAACUGACACCAGCGAAGAAUCAUACUCCAUCAUUGCAGAAUUUGUUUAAUGGGGGGUCUAAACUCAACCACGUUAACUGGGGAGAUAUCGGUGGUACUCUUUCUUCAAAGAGUGCCAUUCAGUCAACCAGAGAUAUAGGUGUUCAGUUCAAUGCUAAUGAGUUUAAAAAGUCCACUGAAGGAUUGAAAUUGCGCUAUCCUAACGAGGAAGGGGUUAAUAAUACUGAUACUAAGAAAACAUCAAGAAAGAAGCGGAAAUCAGAUCCAAGUAAGCUCUUUUAAAUAAUUUUUCUUUUUAUUGUACUACGUAGCACUGACAUUUUAGAUAAAAGGCGUGCCCAAGUGUUUGACACACAUCAAUGUCCAACUCCGCCGCUACACUGACUCGUGUGGUUACAUUCAAAUAUUUCACUCUUUGAAAUUAUGACUGAUGUUGACGUCUCCGUGUCUUGUCUUCCUGUGUCGGUGCUUCAUGGCUAUUAUCUGGUAAUAUAAAAAAUUAAUUUUGUCAUCAAUAUAAUUUGUGUAACUGUAGGUGCACAGGAAGCCACUGCUGAAAAUGACGAGGAGGCAGAGCGGUAUCGAUUCUAUGAAAGUGCGUCUGCAAGAAAAAGAACUGUGACAGCAGAAGAAAGAGAAAGGGCAAUUAAUGAGUCGAAGACAUUUGAACCAACUAAUCCAUUCUGUCGAGUUGUCCUGCGACCCUCCUAUUUAUAUAGGGGAUGUAUAAUGGUGAGAUAUUGAAUUCAAUUUUUUUGAUAUUUAUCUUUAGUCUUCUUAGACAUUUCGUGUUGCAUACUCAGCUUAUGUUUCUGUUUUCCAGUAUUUGCCUUCCUGCUUUGCAGAAAAGAAUUUGAACGGUGUUUCAGGAUUCAUUAAGCUUCAGAUCUCCGAUGGGAGACAGUGGCCUGUUCGCUGCCUUUAUAAAGGAGGCCGGGCAAAGUUAAGCCAAGGAUGGUAUGAGUUUACAUUAGAGAACAAUUUAGGGGAAGGCGAUAUCUGUGUUUUCGAGCUGCUUAGAACCAGAGAGGUAGUCCUGCAAGUUACUUUGUUUCGUGUAAAAGAGGACGACUCAGGGUUAUUCAACCCUUCUACACUGCCGAGCCAAAAUGUGAGCCAUGCAAAAAUGUUGAAUCCUCACUUGCAGCACCGUGUUAGCUCAACCAAAUCAGCUAAAAAUUAGCAGGGAGAGAUAACUCCAGAUAGACAAUUACAAAACUGUGUCGAUUAGCUCUUAUUUCUGAGUGAUCCUGGUACUCUGGUUUAUUCAGUUUGGAACUUUGAUACUUUUUAUGUCCAUAGGCGUUUGAACUUAGUUAUGGUAGUUUUGAAUCUUUUAAUAUGGAUAUUUUGUUUUGACUUGGAUUGUAUAUAGACUGUGCAAUCUAUUCAAUCAUAAACUGAGUCAAAACGCUUGUCCUAGUGCCGUAUCUUGGGAUUAACUUGUUUUUUGUUUUGGUUUUGGUUUUGAAGUUUGUAGCUUCAUCUGCAUGAAUAUAAUGACUCAGUUACGGUGUGUUUUUUAUGUGAUUGCUGAUGACGAGUUUUUAUACAUUUUCCUUUGAAAUAUAUCUAUUUAUGACGCUGUUUGUUUGAAAUUGUGAUAUAUAUGAUAUGGAUAUAAUACAUAGGGGUGUGCAAAGUUAAAACCAAACCAAAACCAAAACCAAAUAUUGGUUUUGGUUUUGUUCCUGAAACCACUUCACUAAAAACCGGUUUUUAAGUAUAACCAGUUUGGAUAUGGUUCAAAACCGGUUCAGAACCGGUUUGUCAGAAAAAUCAGUUUUUUGAACUAAACCAGUUUUUUUUAUUCAAAAUCCAGUUUUUUGAAAUAUAAGCACAUGAAUUAUGUAGCUAAUAGCCACAUUGUAAGAAUUAAAGCAAUUUUGUAAUCUGUGAAUAGAUAGUAAUAUGCCUUGUAUAAGUUGCAGCAAUUACCUAAAUUUUAUUGUUAUUAUAUUAUGUUAAGAUACCAUUAUGCAGAAUAGAAAAACAAGAUUUCCAAUUAAACUAACUAUCUCUGUUUGAACAUAAAAUUCCAAACUACACUGUUGAAAUAUAACUAGGAUAAAAACCGGUUUGGAUAACCACUUCACUAACCAAAUUCAUUCAAUCACACAACAAAAAGUGAAAUCAAUCAACCCUAAGAAGAAAAAGAAUCCCCACAUGUUAAUUUAACAUUUGAAGCAUUUAUUCAUAGGUGCAUUUCAUGAAUUGUGAUUCGAUUAAAAAUAAAAAGUAAAAUAGAAGGAAGAAUUGGAAAGGAACGAAAAUGGAAGAAUGGAAGCGAAACGAACCGGCAGCGGCGGAGAAAGAGGGGGCGGAAUUAGGGUUGCCAAUUUGGGGGAAUUAGGGUUGCCAAUUUGGGGGAAUUAGGGUUGCGAAUUUGGUGAUUAGGUUUAGAAUUUUCAGAUUUGGAAAUUGGAAAAGAGAAAGAAAAUGGAAAUCUGAAAUGGUUAAAAUCUGGAUCCGAAUUUUAGCCGGUUUGGAUAUCCAACCCGUUUAAAAUGGGUUGGUUGGUAACUCAUUUACAAAAAAUCCAGAUAUUUUAAAGUGGACUGGAUAUGGUUAUGGGUUUGGGCCUAAAACUGGUUGAUAUGCACACCCCUAAUAAUACAUGAUUGCUAUAAUCAUUGGUUUCAUAUAUCCUACUCCAGCCGUUCCUGAAUAUAAGCAAAUUUGACUUUUUAGGUGUAUUCAAUUAAUGAUGUUUGUGGUUCAUAUUAUGGAUCACAUACAUCAUUAAUUGAAUGAAUCUAAAAAGUUAAUUUGCUUAUAAGUAGUAAGGGGGGGAGUAUAUGUUAUACAAGGGGAGUAUAUGUUAUACAAUUCUUGAAAAAGGUCCAAUAUGUGAUAUCUUGUUGUCACAAAUAAGAAACUUUUCAUUUUGGGAUCCAAGUGCAGGAUGAUGGGGGGUUUUCACACUGAAAAAAUGUUAUUUUGGAAAUGGAACAUUCUCUUCUGACACAAAAGGUUGUUGCAAUUUACGUUUUCCGAAUAAAACUUAUUUUACAUUAUAAUGCAAAUAUAGGAAAUACAAGAAAAGUUUCGUGAACUGUAAUGUUUUGGCAUGAAAUGUUUUAUUAAAAAUAAGAAUGUUCUUCUGGAUUUCAAUGCACUUGUUUAUAUGAUUGAUGAUUUAUGCUGUAACAAAUAUGAUAAAGGGAUCCCUUUUAGAUAGUGGUUCUGUCUUUGAUAGAAUGUAAGCUUGUAACCUUCAGGAGGGUUGUCUUUGAUAUUACAAGCUGAGCAGUUUCUAUGGAAUUUGUGUGGAAGAGUUUCAGCUUCGAGCAGUUGUACUUUUUAUUCUAAUGUUCUACAUAUGAACCGUCCAAUAAUAUAGGGGUAAUAACAAAAAGAAUAAAUUGUUAUGAAUGUCAAACUCUUGUCCAUGUUGGUGGCUUGAUUAUUGUGGUUUAAUUUUAGUUAAACUUACUUAGUUAGGUUGUAGUUAGCCAAAAGAUACUUGCAAUUUAUAUUUAGGUUUAAAUAUGUCAUUGGUUACUGCACUUUCACCAAGUUUUUGGCUCUGGUCCUUCUGUUGAGUUAAGUUAAAAAAAAAAAAACGGUAUACCAUGUGGAUCAAUCAUUCCACGCCACGUGGGACACUAAAAGACAACUAUAUUCCAACUUUUUUAUUAUUAUUUCAUUUAUUAUUUUUUGACUUAAGGCCAUGCACUUUCAACAUUUUUUUUUAUAUUAGUCUCUGCACUUUGGUCUUAAUGAGUAUCAUCGACAAAAUCACUUUAAUGAAUACUCUCUUCAUCAACAACAUCGAUUCCGGUUAGAUCGUAUUCAUUCCUUAGACUGAUGAUAUCAUAGUGGAAUUGGGUGGCUUUAGCGAGAUUGACCUCUUUUAUUUAUGCACUCAUGAUAUCACGAAAUUUCUGUCUUUGAUAAAUUAUCUACGAUGUUCUUGUUUUGCGGGUGACUGAUUUUGCUUAUGUUUUCUAUAUUUCAUUGCCAACUUGUGAUUGAGGCUUGAAAGUCUAUGCUGAAAUGUUUCUUGUUUGAAAUAAUCUACCAUAAUUUGUAGUAUGAUGCUUCAAGCACUCUUUUGUCAGUUUCCCGUCAUUUCUAGCAACCAAUGUCGUUCAGAUUUUUAUUGAGAAGAAGAGGUCCAAGAUGGAAAAGAGAUAGAGGUUUGGUUGUACUCCCUCGGUCCUAAAUUAAGAAAAUUAAAAAUAAGAAUUUGGAGUAUAGUUUUUUGUGUUUUCUUUGAAAAAAGUUUUAUAGGAAGAUGUAAAAACAAUUUUCAUUGGCCAUUGGUUAUGGAAAAAAUCAAAGAGAGAGAAAAUUGAAUGUAAUUUGCAUUUAAUUUUAUGAGAAUAAACAAAAAAAAUCUUGGAAAAGAUAAAAGUUUGUCUUUUUUGCUUAUAUUUUGGGACAAAGAAAAUGUGUUUUUUUUGCUUAUAUUAUGGGACGGAGGGAGUAUGUGGUAAAGUAUAGAUGUUCUCCUAUUUAAUUUUAAUCAAUCUUAGCCGUUCAUUAAAUUUAAUGGUAUUUUGUUUGUGGUCCACCGGUGAGGGACUUAAUUGAUCCCUCACCCUAAAAUCCACCGUUUUAUGCGGUUUAGAUUAUAGAAUUCAAAGGUAAAUUUUUUUUUCUUCCAUAAAACCCUCCAAAACAGUGUAAACAUUUCAAAUUUUUGAAUUCCAACAUUGUGGGCGAGUAAUUCAGGUGGGAAAAAUAAGAAAAAUACUGUCCACCUUAACUCAAUGCUAGGAAACACUAGUAAUAUCAAUAUAACCUCAUCGGUAGUUAGCUGCCAAUAGAUUUUAACCGACAACGUCUUUUUCUGGUGUGUUUCAGCCUUAUUUGAAGUGAGAACUAACAAUUUUCGAAAAAUAAUUGUCUAUUUUGAAUUUGAAGUAGUUGGGCUUGGGCCGAGAAAGAAUACAAGAAACGGGUUUGGACAUAUCCUAUGCAACCCUAGCAGCUCUCUAUAAAUACAACCUUUGACAACUGUAGUGUUUCGUUGUUGUCUUUCAUUUGUUUUAGUUUUGUUGAUAGCUUUUGAACCCAUUGAAUGUUUUCGGCCGUGGAAUUCUCGGUUGAGAGAAUUUGUUUGAGAUAGAUCUACGUCUCUUCUUUGUUCUUCUCUACUGUGUUUUCUUCGCCGAAAAAAUUCACUGGUUUAUAAUUUUUUUUUGCAGUGGCUAUGAUGAUUACUGUGUAUCCCGGCUCAUUAUGAGACUUUUUUGUAAGGUCCGGGAAUUGAAUUUUUCCACACAUAAAUCUGAGCUUUUCUUCACUUUUGAUUUGUUUUAAACUUUGACACAAAUAUUAAAAAUAUAGAACCAAUUCUGGAUUUCGAAUGAAACUGAUUUUGUUGAUAGGGAUUGAGAUUUUUUUUUCUUCCAGAUCUGGAUUAUGAUAAAAAUCUGGUUUUUUUAAUCAAAAGUUUGUAUUUUUUUUAGGGAUCAAAUAAGGUUUAAUCUUGCACAGAAAUGUCGGUAUAAUAAUGGACUAACGAACUCUAGAAAAAGAAUGUGUAAAAUAGAUUGAACUUGUAUUAGAUAUUUAAAUGAUGAGUAUGUUUUCUAAAAUAUUUAGAGAUUUCUUUUUGAUGAAUAUUUUUUUUUUGACAAGGUUUUUUGAUGAAUUGUUUAGUUUCUUAUGGAAUAUGCCAAUUUAUAGUUUGUACAAAUAACAAAUCGGUGAAGUAAAUGGAUUACGAUGAAAAUUUAGUUGUUAGAAUUUGUAGCUUUUACUCUAUUUUGAAAGAUUAUGAUGUUAUGCAGCAUCAAAGAUAUAAUAAUCUAAAACGAACUGAAAGCUAUAAUAAUCUAAAAUUAUGUUAACAUUUUUCAAUCAAUCAUCCAUAGCUAUCAAUUAUUGCCAUAUUUCUUUUCGACAAUCACACCCAUUCAUCUCUUUAAUAUAUAGAUUUUAUCACACUCAUUCAUCUAAAACGAACUAGAUUUUUUUUUUUUUUUUUUUUUUAUCAAAUAUAUAGAUUUUAUAUUAUGUUAUCUUAAAGUUAUAAGUGUGGCUAUAAUUUAAAUUUGAUAUGGAAAAAAAAAAUAUCUUAAUUUUGUUAAUUUUGUAUAUAUUUUGAAAUAUCUAAACAUUCCACGUAACGAUUGGAUUUAUACUUAUACUAAUUAUUUGUAGUAUAAGAUGUAUUCAUUUUUAAACUUAGCAUAUGUAAUACUUUUUAAUAAAGUGUGGGCUACAGAAACGCCGAUCGUUAUUUGUUUUUAUUUUUAAAAAAGUCUAAUAUAAAUAUUGUAUUUUAGGGUAACAACGAUGUAAAAAAACAAGUUAUGAGUAUCGUUAUACCUAUAAUUCGCCUUACAAAGAAAUUAAAAAAAAAAGACUUCUAAACAACACACAACUUUAGUUUUUUAAAUUAUAGCAACAAUUUUAAAACAUAACUAAUGAUCGAUGUUUCUCAUCAGCAUAACUGGACAUCCCACUCUUAGCUCCUUCUGUUGAAUUUUCUUGGGAUUGUGAGCUUCAAAGGCAACCGAGGAUCCAACACCAUCAGGGUUAUCUUUUGGUUUCCAUUCAUUUCGCUGUUUUUGGGAGAUCACUGGUUUCUCUCCAUUAUCAACUCUUUCUGCUUGCUUGUCCUCUUUCCUCGGAUGUAACCAACAACAAGAACUAACAUUGUGGCCAAUACUCUUGCAGUGUGUGCAAAAAUCAAGAAGGCGUUCAUUUCAAUAGCAAUUGGAAACGCAAACCCCUCUUUUUCCACCAUAACUUCAUAAAAAAUAUCUUUUGAAAGGUCCAAUCAACUAGUAUUCUAGCAUAGUGACCAAACAAACGCUUCUUGGUAACCUGAUCAAUGAGCAAUGGAGUACCAACCGCCUAUGCUAUCUCCAAUAAAGUCCUCUCCAUCCAAUAUUCUUGUGGCAAUUCCCAUAAACGGAUCCAAACCUGAGCAUGUGUCUGACGCUGCGUGUGCAUAUUAAAGUCCUUCGACCAUUCAAAUAAACGAAGAACCCCUAGCUUCAAACUGACAGUUCCCGCAGCCCAAAAUUUACACACAUCUUCGUAUGAUGCAAAGGUAAAUUCAUAAAAUCCCCUACCUAAUGAGCGUAGACUCCAAGGACCAGGACGCUUCCAUAUUGUCUGUAGCUUUUCAAAGACAGCCUUGGAAGAGUAUGAAGUAUCCCCUUUGUUGAGCAUCAGUCUGCCCCGAAGGUUGGUCCGACAAGCUUCUAAACCACAGACAUAAGCUUCUUUCGAAAUUUUGACUGACAACAUGUCCCCGCGAAUAACAGGCAAUGGAAGGGGUUCUGAGUAGAUAAUUGUAGAACCGCGUAAUGCCUGAGCAAAAGAAGGUUUUGGAGCGGUAGCUUGUGUUGGUGUUGUAAGCGCAACCAUGUCGAGAGCCAAUGUGAAAAUAGGUCUGACCGUCGACGAGACAAGAACCGGAGCAGGCGUCCCCAAUUCUGCUUGCCAAUCGAACAUGGCGAUCGGCAGAACUGAGACAAAAGAAAGCAGAACGUAACAUAAUUUGUGAUAAACGUGUAACCUUAGUUGAUUGAAAUAGCCACUUACGUGAGACACCAAUUGGAACAACACCACCGUUUUGGAAAACCACCAAAUAAAUUUGGCGAUAAUGAAAAACAAACGUGAUGAAAUUGGUUUUUGAAAUUAAGAGAGCAAAUUCUUAAAUCAUGAGAUGAUGGGAUACGUGAGUGGAGGAAUCAAUUGGAAAGCAAUUUGUUAAUAUUUGAGAACUAGUAAUUGAAGGAAAAAUAAGAAAAGCAAACCGAUUGGUUAAUUCUAAUUAUCAAUGUAAAUAAUUAGAACAUAUUUUUAUACAAAGUUAAUUCUUUUGGUUUCUUAAUCAAGGCUUUUAGAACAUUCAUUAGUAUCAUAUAUUCAUGAAUAGAAGGUAAGCGCGCAAUAAGAUGCACCACUUACCGAAUUUAAUUACUUUCACUCUCUCUAAUUUUUUUAUUUAUAAAAUAUCCUUUAAUCAAUAUAUUUUUGUUUUAUGAUAACUUUUAUUUAUGUCACUCUUUUUUACCAUGUUAUUCUUGAUGCUAACUUAGUUGGUUCUAGCACUUCUUUGGUUGGAAUUUGGAAAUUAUACCAAAGCGUAUUUUUAUUUCAAUAUGCAAGAAGAAUAUUUGAUUUUAAUAAGCUUUCUUUGUCUAGUCUCAUGCUCCAUGAACUAAGGUAAUGUUGUGACAACCCCCCAUCCUUAGCUAGAUCAAAUGUAGUACUGAUGGUUCUCCUAAGGGUUGUGCAAGCCCUGCAAUUUGUGGUGGGAUUUUUAGGGAUAAAGAUGUUAACUAUUUAGAUAGUUUUGUGAUCAAUUUGCAUAUCACUACUGCCUCUCAAGUUGUGCCCCGUGGGAAGAUGAAUGCUACUGAGAUAACUUAUUAGAUGAAUGCUCUGGAUAGAGACUGACUCUCAAACUUGUUAUUAUGGCUUCCCAAAAUUCAAGUAUUGUUCCUAAUGUAUGAAGUUAACAAAAAAGCAUACAUUUUAUUUACAUUUCUCAUAUCUUCCGUGAGAGCAACAAGUGUGUUGACAAGAUUGCUUCUAUUGGUCUUUGGUAAAACAAUCUUACUUGGAUAGAUUCUAUUCUCUUGUCUAUUUUAGAUUUCUUUUUAUUUUAAUAAUAUUUCUUGAAUGUUUCAGUUAAUAGAUGACAAUCAAGAAAUAACGAUAUAGUUCAAAUAUCUUGACUUAUUGCUUUUGCUCACUCUUUAAUGUUACAUUUUUACAUCCACAUAAAACUUAUUUUCUUUUUUAUAAAAAUAAAAGUAAAAAUAGAUGCUAAAAAAGGCAAGUAACAAAAGGUUCAUAAAAUGAGUGUACUUAGUUGCCACUUGGCAAUGAAGAUGAUUACGUUCCAAUCCAACAUAGCUUUGAUGGCCAGCAUCCAAGUAGAGUUGUAAGCCACGUAUCAUCAAACAAUCUAUCACAUUCUCUUCUUAUAUCAACCAACCAUACUCAUCUCACCUUAUCCUUUUCUCCCUUUUAAUCCAAAUAUACAAAACUCCCUUCCCAUAACAUAAACUCUACACACAUUUCAACAAACCAAGGUUCAUUCAUAUUUCAUAUCAUAUUGUUUUUCAUUUCCUUAUAGCAUAUAUCAAUUCAUUUUUCUAAACUUUUUUCAUAUUUCACAGAUAAUAAUAACAAUGGCUACAGCCUCAGCAACAACUCCAUCUACAAUCACUGUUGUAGGAAGCUCAGUUAUUGGAACCAAAUCAAGGAGUACUAAGAAGGGUAACAAUGUCAAGUUUAUCACAGGACUGAAUUCAUACAAUGGAUUGAAAGCACAGAACAGCACUGUGACAUCACUAGGAGUUCCUAUGUGCACUGAACAAGCUUUUGCAAAAGUGAUGAGUUCAUUGAAAUAUCCAUCAAAUGGAGGAAGAAGAGGAGGUGCAGGUUCUUCAACAUGUAAUGCUGCAGGUGAGAUUUUUCAGAUUGCAGCUAUUAUGAAUGGACUUACUCUUGUUGGUGUUGCUGUUGGAUUUGUUCUUCUUCGAAUUGAAGCUGCUGUUGAAGAAGCUGAGUAAGAAUUUUUCAUAUAUAUUUGUAAUAAUGUAAUGUAAGUUUAUAUCAGGAAGAAAAAUACAAUUUGUAUGUUAUGUUUGAUUCUUGAUGUGAUGAUGUAGAACUCAAUUGUUCUUGGAGGUAUUUGAAAUAGUAGUACCACUUGAAUUUUUAUUUUGAGACAGAAUUGUACACAUUAAUGCUGUCUGGUUUUUUACUUCAAAAUUGGUUGGGAAUUUGAAUAUCUAUGUCUAAUAAUAUACUAACUGGUUUGAAAAAAAAAAUGUAUUUAAUAUGUUUUUGGAAAGUUUGAAGAAUAGUAUAUUCACAUGUAGCCUCAAUAAGAAAUUUGUUUGAAUUGAUAUUGUAAUUAGAGAGUUUCUUUUCCCACCUGGUUCGGAUUAUAUUAUCCGAAAUGUUCUAGGGCGCAUGACAAGAAAAAAAAAAUCUCUUGUUGUAAUUAUUAUGAAGCUGCUGAGUUUUAUAUUUGUAUCUAUGUUGAAAAUUACAAAUAGUACUGAAAAUUGAAAGGUGAUUUGUAUUAAGUGUAUCAUUCAAUGAUUGUUUAGGGAACAAUAGUUAAAUGAAAAGAUGUACUAGUUCAUGAAAAAACACCUUCAAUCAUGUAAGAACACAUCAUAUUAAUUUGAAUCUCAAAUUCAUGAAGACACCUUUUGAAGUGUUUUCUUUGAUUUCAUUUAUUUUGUAAAUUUCUCAAAAUGGAACAUACAUAUGACCAGUAGUGAUUGAUAACACUUGAUUUUGAGUUCAGUAUUUCCUCUAAUUGAAAUAGACCAGUUUUAAGGGUAUUUCUAAAUUAAACAAGAUCUGGAGCUAGCAUGCUUCUUACAUUAGGGUGUACAUGUGCAUGAGGCUCAGGGAUUCUGGUGAGGGUAGGUGCACAGAGCCUUAGUUUCCAAGCAGAGAGCCCGUUUACAAGAUUUGAACAUGCGACCUACGAAGCACAUACAUGGACACGGACCCGGAUACAUAUUCGACAUCGGAAAACUCCUAAUCCGAGGAGUAUUUGUGCUUCAUAGUCUAGCACGCUUCUUACAUUAUUGUAAAAAGUUAUAGACAGGGCGUAUAGCCAAAACUGUGGUUGAAUGUGAAUUGGUCUGCUGAUAACCUUCAUUGAUCAUAGUGGAGUCUGCAAUUUUAUUGUGAUAUGUAAAGUCUCUCAUAUACAGUAAACUAAUAUGUGAAUGGUACAAUUUAUAGAUGUUUUGAUGCAGACAAAUCUUGAAAUAUUGAAGUUACACAAAAUAUCCAACUAAAUUACAUAUUCAUCAACAUACCUUUACUCGAAAAAUGGUGUCACAGGUAAUUAUAUACGCUUUUAGCCUACAUUACCACGCGGGGAUUCUUUUAGGACAAAUGCAGGAAUCCAUAGUACUAACCUCAUGUUUAUUGAUCUGAGGUGGAUCUUGAGAGGUGGCCGGAAGUGAGGAGAGUAGAAACUUGAAGUCUCUGAUUGGGGCGGCAUACGUGUAUUCGUACACACUCCAACACUCUGAGUCAACAAGAAUUUGAGGUGAGUGAGAGAUAUGAUGAAUAGUGGGCACCUUGCUUCCGGUGGAAGGAAAGUCCUAAUACAAUUGAACUGCCCAGGUAAAAUGGUGGGAAAGUCUGUUGAGAAAGUUAUAAGUCGGAAUGUAUAUCGCCGUGAUAUGCGAAUCAAUGUUUAGUUGAGAUCAUGCAGUCGUUGAUCUUCAGUGACGUUUUGCUCAUGGAGUUGGGUCUGUAGUGCAGAAAUCUAGUUCGGAUGGGUCAUGGGCUAGUCCGAAACAUUUAUAAUCCAACAUCAAUGAAAGGAAACUAAAAUAGAAAAAAUAGGGUUGCAGUGAAACUGUUUUGGUAAGGGACACUAAUAUCAGUGAAACAUUUGUAAUCGUAGCUGCUUCCAAAUUCCAAUGAAGCUAACAUUACAGCAAAUCAGUGUACAAUUUCAUUAUGAUGCCUUCUAAGAGACACUAAUAUCCUUCAAAGAAAUUCUAGAAUUUGCAUGAAAAUUACAAGGAUGGAAAAGGAUAUUGAAGAAAUUAGCUCAAUCAUUCUAAAGGAUGAUUGUUAUCAAAUUCAUUUAUAUUCCAAUCAUACAUUGAUUGUUUCCAUUCAUACAGUUUAAAUAAAAUUCCUUAAGGCUCAAAGAGAGCUUAGAGAGGUACUUACAGAAGUCCUGACAUCGGUAACAAGAGUUGAAUCCACAAUCUUGUAGAUGAAUCAACUCCUUAUCAACUAAGUCAACCUUCAUUGACUUUUUCUUUUACAACAAUCAACAACACAUAUCGUUAAACACAUAUAUAAUCAAAUUUAAUGUCUGACAAAGCUCGCACCUCGGAGACCUGGAUGGAACCUAUGUGAAUCAAAAGCAACGAAAUCAUACAAAAAAUGAGCAAUUCAAUUUUUGGGCUCCAAAAGCUAUUGGCUACAUAGUGACAAAUAAGAGAAGGGUGGCAACAUAGUGACAAAUUAGUUAAUGGCUGCAUAGUGUAUUAUAUGGACCAGUAUUAUAAUUAAGACCAUUGCGUUGUCCUGUAUCAUGACCAUGUAACUUAACACUGAGAUGUGGUUCUCUCAAAAUGUAACCAAUAGAAAAAUCAAUAAAUAAAUAAGCAGCCAAUAAAUUAUUGGAACGAAUAUCCUAUUGGUGUAUUCCUUCCAUGAAUCCAAGAGGAUCCAAAACAUCCACAUCCCAAAUGAAUAUUCUCAUUAUUCCUAGUCUCUAUAUAAACCACAAUAUAGCUCUAUUACAACCAUCAUUCAAAACAAAGAGAAAGCUCAACAAAAAGAAGAAAAAAAGUGGAACUAAUAUUUUUUUUUGCUCAAUUUUUAAGAGUGACUAAAAUACUUGAUUUUGAGAAAAAUGUCAGCCAUGGUAGAAGUAUGGAUUGGGGAAUUAGCCAAGCUCAAAGAAAAAGUUAUGACCAAAAAGAUAAAAGAUGGUUUAGAAGAAGAGAAAGAAGUCGGAAUGCAAUCUCAAAAGGAGAUCAUAGCUGUUCAUAGAGACACUGCAACUAUUUCAGAGUCAACAAUAUGUUUGCUUAUGGAUAGAUUUGUGCCCUGCUAAUAUAUGCUUAAUUAUUAGGUGCUCAAAUAUCUUGUUAAUUCAAUGAUUUGGUUCCUAGACAAGAAAAUUUGUAAUAAAAUGUUCUAUAUUAUUGUUAAUAAAAUGUUUUUUACUUUAGUGUUAAUAUUAUUGUAGUUGUUGUUAGUCAUUUAUAAUGUAAUUUGUUGUUUAAUUGCUAGAAAAAUAAAAAAAUUGGAUGGUUUGAUUACAAUUAUUAAAGCAAUAAACUAUUUAGUUGAAAUAAUUUGCGUAUAUUUUUUUCAAAUUUUUUGGGUUAUUAUUAUUUGCAAGUUCGCUUUAUGAACUUCUUUGACAUGGUUUUGCAGGAAAUUAAAUACCCUUUCUAGUUUCUUCCUUGAACCCAAAAAAGAAGAUAUUGUAAUUUGUGAAGUAAUUUCACUCUCAUUGUUAAGUAGUGUAAGACAAAGCUUUUAUUUAAACUAAGAAAAUGAGCCCCAAAAUUUAUGUGUUCCACAAUAGAAUAAUUUUUUAUUUUAUUUAUAUAAGUACAACUCAAUUGAUAGUUAAAUAGAAACUUAAUAUGUUAAAUUGUGGAUUUAAAUGUGUGAUUCUCCACGGUUAAAUAAGAAUUGUCUCCUGAUGUUUAUCCUCUUUCUUUGCUUAUAUAAAAAAAAAUGUUUUGAAUUUGUGUUGGAAAAAAAUCCUGCAUUAGAUAAAGGAUAAGCAAAAAACUUUAGUUUUGUUUGAAAACAAAAAAACAUCGGUGUCCUGGUAAGCUUAGUUCAGUUGCGUAAACUAUUCAAAUCGAACCCAGGCCAACCAAAAAAAAAAAAAAACAUCGCCAACUUUUGCUGUUGUUGCUGGUUGAUUCCUGUUAAUAUAGCUUCUACCUCUUCUUUUCUUCGAAAGAAUAGCUUCUACCUUUAAUUAAUUGUUUAACGCAGAUUCCCUUCUAACAGUUCUUUUUUUUUUUUUUGAAGUUCUACCAAUGGCUUAAGAAAAUUAACAUUGUUUGUGAACAAUUGCGACCAAAAAAUAAUCCAAGAUCGACAAUUUAAAAAAAAAAUUACAUAAUCAAAUUAACAAUGUUUUAGAAAGAUGAAAGUGAGUGUAAAUUAGUGAGGUGUGUGUAAACAAUUUGAUAAAAUUUAUAAAAAUGAGUGCAAAUAAUCAAAUGGGUGUAAGUUGGUAACUUGCACCUUAAUGAUUUUAGGUGGGUGUAACUUGCUAAUUUACACCUUAGUGUUUUUAGGUGGGUGUAAAUUAGCAGCCCUCUAUAAAUAAAGACCUUGUGUGUUAGUAUUUCUUGUACCAAUAGUUAGUAGGAUUUGCUAGAGCUGGUAUUACCUCUACUAUUCAAUAUCUUGUUAUAGCCGGUAUUACCUCUACUAUUCAAUAUUUAUUUUUUUUGAGCAAAGGAAAGUUAAUGCAUUUCAUUCAUAAUCAAAGAAUACAAAGUAAGCGGUACAUUAUAGAAAAUAUGGGGGCUAGAUUGGGAAUAGGAUGCUCUAGCUAUGUUGUGAGCGACCCUAUUUGCUUGCCUCCGAACAUACGACAAUACAAAGUCGGAAUUACUAAACAAUAAAUCUCUACACUGUGAUACAAUGUUGCCAAACUCGUUAAGGUAAACAAAAGAAGAGUUGAUGGCAUCAACGAGAAUCUUAUUGUCCGUUUCAAACAUGACAUCAUGGUAGCCAGCUGAAAUUGACGUGUGUAAUGCGUCAAGCAUAGCAACAGCUUCAGCUUCUAGGACAGAACCAAAUGAUUGCAGAAGAGCUGAUUUCCCCAUUAACAAUUGGCCCCUAAAGUUUCGAAAGCACAUUCCAAAACCUGUUACAGUGUUAUGGCUGAAAGUUGCGGCAUCGAUGUUACACUUUAGGACACCUUCUGGAGGCUUCUUCCAAGAGAUUAUGUGGUCCUGAUUUUGAGGUUGAGGUCUAGCUCGUUGCAUACAUCUCCAUUCGUGAAGUGUAUCCUUCGCUCUAGAAACAGUUGAAGCAGUAGUAGUGUCUAAAGAAUCCCACAACUUUAUGUUACGACUCUUCCACAAACUCCAAAGUAACAUUGCGGCUGCAUGUUGUUGAUAUGAGGGUAACCUGUCAAGAAAAUCAAACAACAUAGUAGUAAAAUCAUUAGCCCGGUGCAGCAGCUCGCGAAUAUGGUUUCCCAAAUUAAUACGAUCCCAACAGUCCAUAGCUUUAGUGCACACAAAGAAUAGAUGCAUGUGUGAUUCUGCCAAUGAUUCACACAUCACACACGUAUCAUCGCAUGAUAUACCCCUGGUGGUGAGAUUAACACGGGUAGGAAGGCAUUGAUGAGCAAGACGCCAAAGGAAGGAACAAACACGUGGUGGAAUUUUCAUGUUCCAGAGAGUCAUGGGGGAUUAGAUGGCGCAUGAGUGGAUGAAUGUAGAAGAUCAGCGCAAAUGCGAUAAGCGGACUUUACGGUGUAUUUUCCAUCUGUUGAUACCUUCCAUAAUCUAGUGUCCUCCAUCGGUCUAGUGUAAAGGGGAAUGGAUGUCACAGCUGCAGCCACUUGGGGGUCAAAAAUUGAAUGCACCAGAUUAUAAUUCCAUGACAGCAGAUCCAGAUUCAUGAGCUGAUUGACUGUGAGCUCUUCAAGGUUAGGAGGCGGCGGUGUUGAAGGUUUGUGCGAGGGGAGAUUGCGAAUCCAAGGCAUUGACCACACAUUUAUUUUUGAGCCAUUACCAAUCUUCCAUCUAUAGCCCAACGUAAGUAAUGAUUGGGUACUCCAAAGACUCCUCCAUGUAUAGCUUGGAUUAUGACCAAGAGGUGCUUCCAAGAAAUCCCGUCGAGGGAAAUAUUUGGCUUUGAGGACACGAGUAAGUAAGGAAUUUGAGUCUGUCAUGAGUUUCCAACUUUGCUUACCGAGCAUAGAAAGAUUGAAUGCUUCCAAAUUGCGAAAACCAAGGCCACCAAGACUUUUGUGCAAAGUGAGUUUCUCCCAUCUCAUCCAAUUUAUACCCCGACGGCCAUUCUUUUUCGAACCCCAGUAAAAAGAGUUCAUCAUCCUUUCUAAUUCCUCACACAAAGAACCAGGAAUAAGAAAGGCCCCCAUACAAUAAGAUGGAAUAGCCUGAGCGACUGAUUUAAUUAAAAUUUCCUUACCAGCUCGAGAUAGAGAACGAGCAUUCCAGGAUUGACACUUCUUCCAUAUGCGGUCCUUCAAGUAAGAGAAAAUUGCCUUUUUGUUCCUUCCCACCAUAGAGGGGAGUCCUAAGUACUUGCCGCUUCCAAUAGAACCAUAGACUCCAAGAAUAUUAGUAAUGGUGGAGAUUAGAUCAUGUUGAGUGUUGGUACUAAAAGCAAUAGCAGAUUUGUUGUAGUUUAUUGCUUGGCCUGAAGCGUGUUCAUAAUGAAGGAGGAUUUCCUUGAGUGCUUGAGUCUCUGAUGUGGUGGCCUGGCAGAAUAAGAAGCUGUCAUCAGCGAAGAGAAGGUGACUGAUAGGUGGUGCUGAUCGACAAAUGCGUGUGCCAUGUAAUUUCCCUCUAAGCUCGUGAUUCUUUAUAGUGGCAGAGAGGCCUUCAGCACAUAAGAUGUAAAGAUAAGGCGAGAGGGGGCAGCCUUGUCUAAGGCCUCUUCCUGGUGUGAUGGGUCCAAUACGAUCCCCAUUAAAUAUAACAUGAUAUUCAACAGAUGUGAUACACAUCAUCAUCCAAGUUACCCAUUGAGAACAAAAACCCAACUUUUCAAGAAUAACUUGAAGAUAAGACCAGCUGACACUGUCAAAUGCUUUGGAUAUAUCAAGUUUCAAAGCAACCUCACCUUUUUUUCCUUUUGAUUUACAACGCAUAUGGUGCAAGAUCUCGAAAGCAGUCAAUGCGUUAUCCGUGAUGGAACGAGAGUGAAUAAAAGCCGCCUGUUCUAAAGAUAUCUAUUUACUAAUCAACGGACGAAGACGGUUGGCAAGGACCUUCGAGAUAAUUUUGUAUAAGAUAUUACACAGUGAUAUAGGACGAAGAUCCUUUAUAGUUUCAGGGCAGUCUCCUUUCAGAAUUAAAACAAUAUUUGUUUCAUUAAGACCGGGAGGUAUGUGACCAGAACUGAGCCAAUUUGAUGCUGCCAGAAAUAGUUCGCCACCAAUAUCUUCCCAGAAUCGAUGGUAAAAUGCUGGAUUUAGACCAUCCGGACCCGGAGAUUUAUCCGGGUGCAUACUAAAAAUCACCUCUUUAAAUUCUUGCUCCGAAAAAGGUUGGAUGAGAAGUGCAUUAUCAUCAUCUGAUACUUUAUCUUGGACGCAUGAUGUGAUAGGGAGAGGAUCACUGUGACGCGCCAUGAAUAUAUCUGUGAAGUAAUCAUGGAUGAGAGAACAAAGAUCAUCGUGGGAGGUGAUCCAGUUACCUGAACUGUCACGUAAUUUUUUAAUAUUGUUACUUCUUUUCCUGGCUGAAGCUGAUGCGUGGAAGAAUUUGCUAUUUGUGUCGCCAUCGGACAGCCAAAAAACCUUUGACCGCUGCUUCCAGUAACUUUCUUCUUGGAGUAAAAGAGUAGCCAUGUUAUUUUGCAUAGAGAUCAAGUGAGGGUCACUUGCAUCAGCAUGAGAAUUGCGAAAAUCUUCAAUGGCUGACCUUUGCUUGUUGAUGAGAUGUCGAAAAUUAGGAACCAAAUUUUUACUCCAAGAUGCAAUAUCUUCCGAAAAAUGCCUGAGCUUAGCUAUAAUGUUCGAUGGAGGAUAGUGCUCCCAAUUAUCCUUUACAAUUUGAUCAAGUUCAGGCUCAAGUAACCAAGCGUUGUUAAAGCGGAAACAACGGUAAGGUUUGCGCCAUGGUAAUGGAUCAAGUUGAAGCAAAAGAGGCGUGUGGUCUGAAAUUGGAGCAACCAAUGUUUGCAGCGUUGCAUUCGGAUAAAGUGUCUGCCAGGAGGACGUGACAAGGGCUCUAUCAAGACGGGCUUCUUUCGAGGAUUCGGUUCCAAUACUUUUGAACCAAGUGAAUUGGUAACCAAUCAAAGGUAUAUCAAGUAAAUUACAGUCAUUCACAACAUCUUGGAAGCCACGUAUAAGCCAUGGAGGACGUUCAGGGCCUCCUCUUUUAUCUGAGGUCGAGAGGUGAUCAUUGAAGUCCCCAAUUAUGCACCAGGGAUCGUCUGAGAGGGUGCUUAAGGAGCGAAGCAAAUCCCAGGAUUCUCUGCGUCUGCCUGAGUCAGAAUAACCGUAGAAAGCUGUUAGCCUCCAAUUACCGACUGAUUGAUCUUUGAUUUUUAGAUUAAUGAAGUUUUGGGAGAAAUUAAUUAAAGAACAAUCAACAGAAAUGCGCCAGAGCACAGCAAUACCGCCGCUUCUGCCAGUUCUAUCAACUGUAAAGUGGUUUUCGAAGCCAAUAGAAUAGCACAAAUCAGAAAUUUUAUUAUCGUUGACCAAGGUUUCAAUAAGGAUAACAAUGUCCGGUUUAUAGACUCGGACUAAGUCUUUCAUAACAGGAACUGCCUUAACAUUUCCCAGGCCUCGACAGUUCCAAGAUAAAACAUUCAUUGUGCCCGGCAGGCCUGGGAGCCAGGCUCUGCCACUAAAAAAUGAGUCACUGAUUGUGAGACCUCCAUGGGUGAUGCACUGUUGUCUGGGACCUUGUUGAGACUGUGUGAGUUUUCUUCUGCAACUUCAUUAAUUGCAUUUGCUGAUGAGGAAGCAUUCUGAGAAAUUGCGACAGUAAUGUCAUGAUUUAUGACAGCGUUAUCAGUUGAUUCCCUUGACCGUUUUGCUUUAUUAUUGAUAAUAACGGACUCAUGAUUUUCCUCCUGCAGAAUCUCAUCAUUCUGGUUCGGUUUUGGUGCAUUAACACUGAGACGCGGCUGCAUUAAAUGAGGAUUGCGUAACAACUGCAGCAAUGAUUCAGGAUUGGCAGUUUUGGAUACAGUAUUGAUAGCAUUAACUCCUGUGUCUGUAACUGAAACUGUUGAUGAGGCACUGGUUGCUCCGCCCAUGACAGAGUUCCGGCGAGCACCACCACUAGUGUUCUUUUGACGAUCCGCUCGCAAUUCAGAGCUCCAUAAGCGUAUGCCGUCAUCAGCUUCAACGGAAUAAAGUUUUUCGCAAUAAUCUUCGAUAUGGCCUAAACAACCACAGUAGUAGCAGAAAUUACCAAGACGCUCGUAUUUGAAUUUGAUGAAACUGGAAUCACCUCCCUGCCGUUUGAUUUUUUUCUGGCGCUUCAGAGGCUUUGUGAUGUCGAUCAGAACUCUAAUUCUCAUAUAUGAUCUGAGAAAGUUAGAGUUGUUCUUGGCAUCGUAUUCUAGAAAUUCACCUAUGUAGUUAGCGAUUUCCUUUCCGGCAUUUUCUGUCAUUAGCCCUGUUGGGAUGUCGUGGACUUGUAUCCAAAAUGGAACAAAGUGGAGGGGGACUUGAUUUGGGCUGCCAUUCUCUGGGAUGAUGUUGAGGACUAGAAGGUGGUUGUCAAAAUACCAAGGGCCUUUUUUCAGUAUUCGUUGAAAGUCUAGGUGAUGAUUGAAUUGGAAGGUGUAUAGGCAUGGCUCAAUUUCCAGGAUUUUCAUGCCUUUAACAGGACUCCAGAAUGUUUCAAUCUUUUCCAUCAUCAUGUAGGAGCGGAUUGGCCUGUUCGUGUGGAAACGGCCAACAAGACAGAGGCGGGGAUCGUUGGUUUGUGUUGGGAUUUCUUCAAAUUGAAUGUCAAGUUCAUCCUCCUCAUCACUAAGGGAGAGGUGUUGUAAUGUGGUCAUUGUGAUUGGUGGUUGGUGAGUGGCAGGAGCAGAAAGGUUGCAAGGUGUGCUCCCCGAUUUUCGGAUAUCAAACCAUUGAUUGAUUUGAAUCGUCAAUCUUUGAACUCUCAAUUUUUAUUCGUGGGAAGGGAAAAAAUGAGUAAAAACCCUUAUCGAGACUUUGGAUUCGGGGGUUGGUUUCGAAUAGGGAAGGUGUUAAGCACCCUAAACGACUUCGGUACUCCGAAGGAACCGCUUACCUAGAUUAUCUUGUGCUAAAUUCAUUUGCUUACUUGAAAAAUUAUUACCUAAAAAUCUAUGUAAAAGAAUGGAGGGAGAAUAAGUAUGUUUUGGUUAUUUUUAUUUGAUUUGGAAGGACAAGUCCUCUACCUACGUACCCUUUUUUUGGGAAAGGGAUCAAAACCGACGUAGUUCCACUCAAGAAUUUCUUUGGUGGGUUAGAUUGAUUUUAAGAUUUUUUUUGAAAAUGGGUUUUAAGAAGAGAAAGAGGCCUCAAGGUAUGAGAUAAAGAAAACAAGUGAGGUUGAUUGAUUUUAAAAUUUAAAAAAAUGGUUGAAGUUGAAUUAAGAUUGAUUGAAAAUUUGAUUAAGAAAAUAAAGAGAAAAUGUUGCUAAGAAAAGUGAUUUUUUUGAAUUUGACAUAUUUAGUUUUUUUUUUGAUAAAAAGGUUUUUUUUUCUAAACUAACGGUGAGAACUAACGUAACGUCGUAAAAACUAACGGAAAGCGGUAAAUAAAAUGUGGUAGUGUCGGUGCAUGUGUCGGUGCUUGUGUUACCUACAUUAUUACAUCAAUUCCUAAAUACAACCCUAAGGCCUUUAUGCCAAAAUAAAGUGCAAGAAAUAAAAUUACAUCAAUUCCCUAUUUAUACACACUAAGUCAAUGACAAAAUAAAAUGAUGAGAAAAUUAAAUGUGCAUGCUUCCCUCUGUUCGAUGCGUCUCAGCUUCGUUUGCUUGUGGAUUCGAGUUCGAUUUCUUCUUACGGUUCGAUCUCGAUCCGGUCCGAUCUGUUGUUGUUUUUCACGAAUUUGACUCGGUUUCAGCUUCUUCUUGCUCCUUCUAUUUCGUUCGGUUUGGAUUUGAUUUGUGUUGUUCUUUUAUGAAUUUCUGGUGAAUUUGUGAUUGUUGAAAUCAAAACCGAAAAUGACGGGUGAUUUGUGAGAUGGAAUGGGUGAUGUGUUUAUGAAUUAUUUUGGUGUUGAAUGUUGUUGAGACUUUUUUUGGAUCUGGAAACUUUGAAUGUUCUUGAUGAUUUCUUGCUUUGAUCCGAAAAUGUGAGAAAGAAGAGGAAAUUAGGGUUUGUAUUGAUUGAGGGACUGAUUUGACUCUGACGCAGCUACAGUGAUUUUUCUGACCCUCUUCCCAAUGAUUAGACAGUGUAUUUAUAGUGACAAAAUAGGGUUGGCUCUGGUACAUAUCAAAGACCAAAAUACCCCUGUUGGAGACUUGGGGACAAAGACUUAACAAAUAACAAAUAAAAAUGAUAAGAAAAAAGAAAAGAAAGAAGAAAAAGAAGAAAAAAAAGAGGAAAUAAGAAAGAAAGUCACGUGAUUGACUUUCCUUUCUUUGUUUUUUUUUCAAAAAAAAUAAAAAAUAAAAAAAAUAAAAUAACAAAAAACAAAAAAAUAAAAAAUGACAAAUAAAAUAAAAAUAAAAUAUUAAUUAAUAAUAAUAAAAAAAAAAGUCCCUUCGAAAUCUGACAUGAGGUACUUCAAAGUAUCCUCCCUGCCGAAAUUUUGUCUGAAAUGAUUAAAAGGACGCGAUUUUUAAAAUAUGAUUAAACCUUUUAAAAUGACUUGAUUAUUAUGACUAACAAGACUAUAAAAUGCGCUCAAAACGUUAUAAAAAUGCAGAUAAAAGUUUUUAAAUGAUUAAAGAAGAAAAACACGAGUUUUAAAUGGUAAAAAAAACGAAUAGAAGAGAAUGUGGACUAUUUCAAAAUAUGGACAAAAAGAUUUUAAGUGGUCCAAAUUUGGGGUAUGACACAAGGGAACUUCUCACUAAGGAGAGAAUACUAAAGACUUCUCACAGAGGAGAGAAUAUUUUUUUUUUAGCAAACAGUUAGUUUACUAUUCAAUAUUUAUAAUCAUUAAUUAUAGUGGAAUUCUUUUCAAUGGCUCUGCCCGUGAAUUAGUCAGCACAUUGAUGGAUACCACGUUUAAUCUUGUGCCGUUUUCAUUAUGUCUUUUACUAUUAUAGUCAUUAUUCUCGCGUCCCGUUAUAACAAAUUGGUAUUAGAGCCCUAGUUAGGCUCGGUGGGGAGCAGAAGUGGGAUAUUGUUAGAAAUCAAGUGUAAGUGAUUAUGUCCCACAUCAACUAGAAAUGGAGAAAACGUUGGAUAUAUACGAGAGUGGGCCUAUAUACUUAAUGCCUUAAGGUUUUUGGUAAGAGUGUGGUGUCUCUCUCUUAACAGGUCCUAGACAUUUAUCACAUUGUCGCUUUCGUCGCUCUCCGAACUCCAUAACGAAAUGCACAAUCAAAGACUAUUUUGAAAUUUAAAUUCAUUGAAAAACUAUUGUCCUAUAUGAUAACCACGUAGGAAACCCCUCACUUUGCAAUCUUCCAAUUCACACCGCAAAUUGAGACUGUAAUUUUAUCAUCAAAUUUUCAAAUUAAUCCCGUCAUUUAUUAUUUUUUGAUGAAAAGUUAAUUUGUUAAUUCUUUUAUUUGAUAUACUAUCAUCACUUAAAAUAAGUAUCGACAAUGAUCUAUUAAUUUUGUCAAAAAAAAUAAAAUAGUGAUCUAUUAAUUUAUGAGACGGCUAAGGUCUUCUUUACUCUGGAUCAGAGAAUUAUUCCUCAAUCCUAACUAACCUGAGUAAUGUGGGACUACAAUUUAAUUUCAAUAUCCAACUGUUACCGUAUAUAUCAAGCAUGGUCACAUAAUUAGCUUAAUACCAAAGAAAACGCAAAUUAGUUUUGCUAGACGUGAGGUGGAUAUUAUGUUGUAUUGGAGUUGCGUAUUAUUUAGAUGUCUAUGCAAUUGGGUGUGUAAAUGUAUUUAGACACUCAUUCUUUGAGUAUGUUUUUAGGAUGAGAUCUUAGUUCAUUUAACUUUGAAUCUAAAAUCAUGCUAAACAUGCAUGCGAAUAUUACAGUUGUAUUGAAAUUUCACAUUAUUCAAUAUCAUUCUUUGUGCAUUGAUUUUUGCAAAAUCACUAAAAAUCUUUUUAUAAUAAAGUGUUUUACAUAAUCAUUUCCAUAUAAAUCAAUGCAAUACUAUUUAAUUUAUCUUAUGAAUUUGAGUGUUCAAUUAAAGAUAAAAAUACAAUUAAUAUAUUAUUAACUUUAAAUUUUAAAAAUGAACAUUAGAUAAUUCAUACACAGUUGAUGCUUACUCAUUCACCGGUAUGAAAUAUGACUUUUCAAAGUUCACAAAAACACCACUAAGACAAGUACCACACCAAUAUAUUUUGUAAAAAAACAAUUCUUCUUCUUCUUCUAAUAAAACAUGACUUUUGGAUUCAUACACAAUUGAUUAACCCUUAUUAAAGAUAACUCUUAUGAUCAUGCAUGUUAAUCACCAAAACCACCACCAACUACGUAUGUGUUUCGCAUCACUUUUUUAAGCUCAAAACGUGGGUUGCUUUUGCCAAACGUCGUUUCCCAAUUUCCUGUGUUGUUUGGAUGAAGGAAAAGCAGAUCUGUGAAACCACGUUUUAGAUCCAAAACGCCGGUUCUGCUAAAGCUGGAAUUCAAAGCUUCAGCGGCAGUGAAAAGUGAUUCACAGUUUUAACUUUUCAAUGACAAGUAUAGUUACCAAUAUACCCAUGUUUUCUUCUCCAAUUUCCCAUGAAUAAACAACAUCUUUCUUCUUCUUCCAUAAAAAAACAUAUUUCUUCUUCUUUAUUACUGCACAUCACUUGAAGUAGUAGACUCUUCUUCUUUCUUUUUUGCAUAUCUAUCCUAUUUUUUUUCUUCAGAUUUGUUCUUAAUUGGUGAGUGAUGGAGAAAUGGUAGAAUGAGAGACAAAUAGUGAGAUGAGGAAGGAGAAAGGCAACAAGAGUUGGUGCAGUGAGAGGUGGAGAAGAAGAUGGAAAUGGAUAGAAGAGUAUUGAAGCUUCUCGAGAAAUAGAAAGGGAGACGUGAUGAUCUCAAGAGUGACACAAAUUGGACUUUUUUAAUUUUUUUUUUACUAUUGGGUUUUGGGCUGUGUUGGAGUAUUUGAUAAUUUGGUUUUAAUUAAAAGGAUAAUUUGGUCAUUGUACAUUCAAAAUCAAUUUUGAUUCAAACUAUCCAAACAAAUCAACUCAUAAAAAUCACUUUUAAAAAAGUGUAUCCAAAUAUAAAUCAAUUUACAUCAAACUCACUUUUAACCAAAAUCAAUUAUAUCAAACUCAAUUCUAUCAAAUCAAUUCUUCCCGCCGCCAUACCAAACACACACUACAUGCAUGGCAACUAUCAUACCAAUAUAUCUUGUAAAGAAUUCAUUCUUCAUGUAUUAAACAAGAUUUUUAAAGUCAUGCAUAUCAUGUGAGAAUAAAUAUUAUAAAUAUGUUAAAAAUAGAAAGUGAUCGUAAAUUCUAACAUAUAUUAUAUUUGUAUUAUGUAUCUAUAUAUCAAAUAAUAGAGUUUUUUUAAUUAUCGCAUAAAAAAUGUCAUUAUUUUUUAAACAAAUUAUAAUUUUCAUGAGAUAUGACUUUGAACUUAAUGGGCAACACCAUCAACAUUAAUUAUUUCCUUAGUCUCUCAAUUCAUUCCAUCUAUUCUUUUGCAUUUUCUCAUUUUCUUUAGAUUUCUUUCUUAUUUUCACAAACAUACAUAAAAAGACACGUUAUCGAACACAUUAGUAAUUUAUUACUGAGCUGUGCUAUUGAGCACGACAAAAAUCCAGGCACGACACGCACGACUAGUUAUGUGGCACAAUCCUCUUUGUUUAAAUUAAAUUUUAAUUAAAAUAAAUUUUAAAAACUGAAAUAGCGGAAGGUAGAAUACACGAUCGUGUGUAUUUUGACGACAACCAUGUGUCGUGCAAUAUACCAUUUUCCUUUAUUAAUACUUAAAAAAUUGGUAUCUCUAUAACUUUGUCAAGAUAGUGUUACAAAAAGUUGGUGCCACUCUAAAUAUUUUGAGUUCUUUGAUAUUUUCGAUUUCGAUUAUUUUGUUGUGACAUUUGGUCUGACGUGAUAUACAAUCACUUAAAACCACAAUUUAUUCACCACUCAAGAAAAUCAGUGUUCCGAUACGACGGGAGACCGUUGCAAAUAUGACCACCAUCUUUUUGAACUAAAAAAAUGGAUCAGAGGCUUUGAUGAACCUUGUGCGCAAAGGAAGAAAAUAUUCAGAAGACUUUUGAUUUAAUUUUUUAUUAAAAGAUUAAACCAACACAGCCGGUUGACAGUUUUAUUUGCUUUUCAUGAUGUUUAUAUGGACCAAAAGUUGAGAAAGUAUCUAAAAGUGUUUGUUAGAGUACCUGUCCUUAGUAGUCACUUGUAAUAAAAUGACAUAUACACGCACACGCUACAUUGUUAUAAAAGUGUUUGUUAGAGUGACUGUCCUUAGUAGUCCUUUGUAAUAAAAUAACAUAUACACGCAGUCACUACUGUGUUAGUAAUUUUGUAUGUGUUGUUAGUCAUUUGCAAUAAAUUACAUACAAAAUUUUUUUUGCUUAUAAUUUACAAUUUUAAAUAUUUUACCAUUUAGUUGAAAUAUUUUUUUUAUUUGUACAAUACUCACAAUGUGUUGAUUUUGUUAAAGGAGUUUAAAUUUUAUACUAAAAGCUAGAUUAAAGGAUGAGAUUGCCUAAUCACAUUUAUAUAUCUAACAACUUAAGAAUUUGGUAACGUAAGACUCCAAUAAACCUUCAGGGUGCGUUUGAUGGUCAGGAUAGAAAAGAUAUAUCAUAUCAUAUUAUAAUCCUUUGUUUGAUACAUCAAUAAAAUAUGAUAAGUUAUUCCUUUUAUUUAUCCUAUUUUAUCCUAUCACUCCUUUGUAAUUUCUAUCUAAGUUUAUGUAGGGUUAUAAUUAUCCUAUCAAAUAGAAAAUCCUAAUUUUACCGUCACCUUUGUCUUCUCUCUAAUUCGUCCAUGCUUUCCACUCAUCUUCUUCCUCUUGUUCAUGCCAUCAUCAUGUAUGUUAUAUUGUAAAUUUUAUCAAUUCCUCUUCUCUUAUUAUCGUACAGAUUGCUUUUGUUCUUGUUCUUAUUCAAUUUUUUCUUUAUUGAUUUCAAUUUUUCAUCAAUCGAUUUUUCCUCCUUAUUUUAUUGAAUUCCUUUUUUUGUCCGAUUUCUCUUAUAUUUAUUUCAUUUCGAUUUCUCAUCCUUUUUCAAUUCUUUUUGUGUUGAAUUCCUCUGUUUCCAUCGCUCUUCCUUUCCUCUGUGUGUCGAUUUUUUUACAGAUUCCUUUCUCUUUUUUAUUUUUUUAUUUUAUAGAUUUCAAUUUUUUCCUUCUUUUCUCUUGUAAAAAAAUUAAAAAAUUUAUUUUCUUUGAUGUUCAUGUGCAAUACGAAAAUCCGUUAAAAUAAUAUAAUUGAUUAAAAGGGUAAUUUUGUCAUUUAAUAUGAUAAAGAAAAUGUUAUCCAUAUUGUUAUCAUGUCCACAUCAAACAUAUGAUAGGAUAAAUUUAUCAUGUACAUAUCAUAUCCUGCCUCUAUCCAGUUUUAUAUCAUAUUCUGUCUUUAUCCUAUUCUGACCAUCAAACACACCCUAAAUACCUAACUCUCACGUCUAGUGUGCCUCCCAAAUCCAAUUCUAAUACGGUAAUCAUGAACACAACCCGGAUAUCGCGUACCGGAGAAUUGCAAACUAGGUGACAUUUUGAAGUACUAUAUCAAGGUUAAAUCGUAAACUCUAAUCAAUAAUGUUAGUCAUAUAAAAAUAAUAUAAAGAUAAGUGAAAAUCACUUAUUUGUUGAAGUCAUAAUCAAGGUUAUUACUGGACUCGCGGAGAUGUGAGAUUGAAUCUCCCUUUUUCUAAUCACGUGCUCGAGGAUUUGAAUUCUCAAUGAAGUUAACCGCAAAGGAGCUAAUCGUUAGAAUGAUGGCAAAGGAGAUCAAACCUCUCUAUUUACACUUUUGUUUUCUUUAUAAAAGGGACCGAAACGAGUAACUAUUUUUUCCCUCAAGAACUAAAAAAACGAGCAAUUCAGUUUUUGGGCUCCAAAAGUUAGUGGCUACGUAAUGACAAAUAAGAGGGGAAGAAUGGUGGAAAGUGGGUGAUACUCCAGAAGGAUUGUAUGCUUGGAAUGAAAGCACGUUUUAUGUGUAGUGUAAAUUGUAUUCUAUGGAAUAGUAUUAUAAUUAAGACCACUGUGUUGUCCUGUUUCAUGACCAUGUAACUUACUUUGUGGCUCUCACAAUGUUACAUAGUUUUAUUUUAGGUGAGAUACGGACAUAAUACGCCUACCCUUCUUGACUUAUAUAUUACGGACAAAUAUUGUUUUGUUUAUUCUCACUCCAAAGGUUAAAAAUGUGUCAUCCUAAGGUUUUAACUUAAUAUUUUUUGAGUUAAAAAAAUUCUUAGUCAAACUAUAUUUAUCUUUGUGGCGCCGUUUAGCGUACGCAGACUUAAUAGGUCAUGUAUGGUGUGAGACUUGAUAUUGCCUUUUUUUUUUUGUUGAAUAAUGUGAUAUACGCUUUACAUACGGUUAAGUAGAACACUAGGUGGAACGGCGCCACAAAUUAAUCUCUAUAUUAAUAUUAUAUUAUUUGUUGUAUUAAAAAAGAUAGAGAUUUACAUAUUUGUUAAAUUAUUGUUGUUAUUGAAAAAUAUAAACACGGUUUUUUUGGGUUUCUUUCGAUUUGAAAGUCACAAAUAUUUGUACUUAUAGUUUUAGUCAAAAUCAAAAUUUCAUAUAAAAUACCAUUCAUAAUUUACACGUGUUAGCGCAAUAAAAGGAGCAAAAAGACGGACACGUAAGUGUCUGUCUUUUCGCUGGCAAAAUAUAAGGACAAUUAUCAAUAACAAUUUUAAAAUUCAGUCUUGUAAUUUUUUCAUUAUAUACGGUGUAAAUCCAUCUGUUUCAAAGGCUUUCCGCAACAUCCAAAGGCCAUAAUUCUACUAUGUUUUUCAACAGUAGUAUUUUUGUUCAUUGAUUAAAUCACCCUUUUUAAAUGAAACUAUAAAUUCCAUAAUGUUUAUCAACAAUACAAAUUUUAACAUGUCAACUUGUGGGACCUUUUAGAUCCAUCCCUACCGUUUGCUUAUAAAAGUAAAUCCAAUGGUACCUAAACAACUUGCAACAAAGAAAAAAUUAAGAGAUCUUGCACGGUGAGAGACCUAUAAUGGUCUCCUACCGUAGCCACAACCGUAGUACCAUUAAACUCUGGAUUAUGAUAGCCCAUCUCUUUUGUAAUUCUUCCACUAUUUUGAUUUUAGAGCUUUUUUUUUAUGUUAGAACCGUUCUAAAGCAUAAUAAGAACGAAAUGUUUCAAGACAUGAUUUAUUCCAAGAUGAUUAGAAUAAGAGAAAAUGGAAACAGAUUAUAUAAAUCUCAUCAAACAAGUGCAUGUAUGCUAAUGCUGUCAAUGACUAUGAAAUGACUCAUCCAUGACCCAUGUUUAUCUCAAAAUAAGAAAGGAACACCCAAAAAUAGUAAUCACUAAGGCCUUUUUAAUUGAAUUAGUUUUGAAAAGAUUUAUUUUCUUAUUUUAGAAAAAUCUAUAGAGAAAUUUUCUCUAUAGAAUUCUUCAUUGGAUGCAUAUGAGAUAAUUAAGAGUUUUUUAUUUAUUUUUAAAAGCAAUAGUUAAAGAGUUGUUUUUUUUUAUUUAAUUGAUUGUUUCUUUUUAUUUGAAAAAUAUUCAAUUUUAAAUAAAAGUUAGCAACAAACAUCUAAUUAUGAGAUAAUUAGAAUGAGUUUUUAUUUUGGUGCUUCUAAUUUUAGUAGUUGAUUAAAAAAAAAAUCAGCAGUAAUUUUGGUAAUAGUACAAUAUGAACGUGAAUAUGCAAAAGUAAUGAGCAACCAAUAGAAAAAAAGAAUUAGAAAAGCAACCAAUAAAAUAUUGUAAAGAAUAUCCCAUUCCCAUUGGUGUAUUCCUUCCAUGUGCCACUAAAUUCAAGAGGAUCCAAAACAUCCACAUCCCUUUUAUAACCCUACACGCUUUCUCUCAAAUGAUUCUCAUUACUUCUAGUCUCUCUAUAUAAACCACAUUGAUAUAGUUCUACUAUUACAACCAUCAUUCACAACAAAGAAAAUCUCAACAAAAAAAAGGAAAUAUUUUUUGCUCAUUUUAUUAGAGUGACUAAAAUAAAAUGGCAGCCAUGGUAGAGGUAUGGAUUGGAGAGCUAGCCAAGCUCAAAGAGAAAGUUCUAACCAACAAAACCAAAAUUUCUAAAUCCAAAAAUGGUUUAGAAGAAGAGAAGGAAGUGGGAAGAGAAGCUCAAAAGGAGGUCAUAGGUGCUCAAAGAGACACUACAACCUUGUCUGAGUCAACAAUAUGUUUGCUUAUGGAUAGAUUUGUGCCUUGCUAAAAUAUGUUGUUUAUUCAACUAUAUCAAUGUGAUUUGGUUCCUAGAUAAGAAAAUUUGUAAUGAAAUGUUAUAUAUGUUGUGUUAGUAUAAUGUAAUUAGUUGUUUAAUUGUUCUUGGAUGGUUUGAUUACAAUUAUUAAAGCAAUAAACCAUUUAGUUGAAAUAAUUUGUGCAUAUCUUUUCAAACUUUUGGGUUAUUAAUAUUUGCUCCUAUAAUGUUAGCUUUAUGAACGAACUUUUUUGAGAUGGUUUUGCAGGAAAAUAUCUACGACUUCUCUUUCUCUCUCUUAAUUUUUCUUUCCUUUUCUUAUAUCUCCUAUUUCAACCUUGGCUCAAGUUCAAUCCACUUAUGGACUUGCUCACUAGGGAGUAUGCUAUGAGAUUCCCCAGGGGAGCACCCAAGAGAAUCCGGUAAUGGUGAUCAAAUGUUGAUAUGCAAAUAACGUCGAGGACAGUCUAACAAAAUCAAUGAUUCCGACAGGAAAAUUCUACAGUCUUCCUUAUAAUUAAGGACAGAUGAUCGUUAAAGGGACACAUUCUCUAAACCCUAAAAACUUCACCCCCUUUGAUCACUGACUAACUUGAUUAUUGUAGUGUUUGCAAGUAUACAAUCCUUUAUGAAGAGCUAUCGUCGUCCUUUCUUCCACCACUCUGGCUUUCGAUUUAGGUCCACUCCGGCUUUUGAUUUAGGUCCUUUCUUCCUUAUUCAAUCUUAAUAAAAUGAAGUUUUUAAUGAACAUUAUUUUUAUGUAUCGUUUUGAACACCUACAAUCAACUAUAUAUCGAGCAAUGAGUCUCCAAAGAAGUAGCUUAGGUUGUGACACCGAAGAAGUUAUAUGUAGGAAGUUCAUAUUUAAAUUGCUUUCUACGAACAUUUCUUGCCUUUAAAAAAAACUUCUAGUAAAAAAAAUAACAUGAAAAGUUUUGAACAAAGUUUUAAGUCCAACAAAAAUGGUUAUUGAAACUUUUUCCAUCUUCAAGACAUGUAAUUAGUGACAUUAAAAAGUGUUUAUAAUACUCCUGUAAUUUAAGUUUACAUGCAUUGAAAAGUGUUUAUAAUAUUCCUGAAUUAUAAGGUUAUUAUGAUUUCCAACGCGGUUUAUUGACACAUUAUAUGCCCCAUUUUACACGUUAAGGUCAAACUAGAUGAUGACUGAAAUAAUUAGAGAAGUAAAAUAAUUAUUAAUUAGGAUAAGUGUUAAAAUUGACUAAGUUGAUG
rnacentral:lncRNA from 1 species